rnacentral:lncRNA from 1 species
AGAAAAUGACUCGCACGGAACGUCGCAUCCACUUCAUACGUAUCUCAUUUGAAUCUGAGAAUCAGAGUCUUCGUAGCUCGGCUACCUAUGGUUAAAGAGGAGUGUGCUCGCUAAGACAUCGCGUCUUAUGCCUACGUAUCUCAUCUGGGAUGAAAAUCAGAGUAAAACGUAGUUCGACUAACUACGGGGUAAGGGUUGUGUUUUGGGGUGAAUGACGUUACUACGCAAUCUACCGAUGCUCGACCUUUGGAGACUUACUCGCCUGUAGUAGAAGGAGAUAACGUGUUCUUAGGAGAAUAAAAAAUCAAUGAGUUUGGGGUGUUUAGGGAUGCUCAUGCAAAAAGGCAGUCCUAGAUGAAGGAAUCGCGCUACCUUAAAUGACAUGCACACGAGAGGCUAUACGAAACCUAAGAAAUCGGUAACAUGCGGGAAAAGUAAAGGAUCGAGAGAUCUACAUACGGAUAAAGAUCCGAAGUAACAACAAUUAGAUAAAUAAGAAACCCAAAGACUCUUCCAAGCUAAACACCAUCAAAGAAAGCGAGUCAGUACAGGUAAUCGAAUAAAUCUCCAGGUGGUAUCACAAAUAAAGUGGAACACCAGGCAAGCCAUCUCUGCAAGAGUCAUAUGAGCCUCCUAAAACAAAACUCAACAAACGGGUUAGAGAAACAGAUGCGGUAAUCAAAGAGUUGCCCCAAAUCAAAAUGUAACACAUGAAUCAUGCAUUAAAAUUCACAAAAAGCUCACAAAAAGCAACCAGGGUAGGAGGCCUAAACCUCUUGUCAAACACAUGCAUCAAAAGGGUAUCAAAUUCACCAUAAUACUCAUACAUUCAGAGCAUUCAAAUUAAAAGCAUAAAGUAAUGGGAAUAAGGCAAACCUGACUGAGAAGAUCGAAUGAAAUUGAAUUGCCCGGUUGGUUUGUUGCAAAGCAAUCUGAGGGUUUUUAUGAGAGGGAAUUGGUUCUUUGCGAUGAGUUCCCUUCAGUCUCUGGAGGUUGCUCUGAACUCUGUUAGCUCUUCUCUCACUAUCUUUUUUCCCUGCCAGAGUAAUAGGAAUAGAAUUGCUUUUGUUUCACUGAAACUCUGAAUUUAUAACCUGAUUUUUGUGGACUGUGGGCUCAAAUGAGAGAGGGCAAGUCCAAAAAAAUUCUGUUUAUAUUUUUAUUUAUUUAUUAUUAUUUAUUUAUUUAUUUCGUUUUCGUUCUUCUUUUUUUAAACACGUGGGUUCGCCUAGCGAGCAUGACAGUUCAAGAAAUUCCUCUAAGCGUAGGUGAUUCUGGGGCUUUUCUUGACUGCUAGGCAACCCAUUCUGCUCGCCUAGCGAGCAUGACAGCUAUGAACAACUUUUGCUCCUUCAAGAUUAAUGUUUAACUGACGAAUAGACCCCAUUUGAACCUGUUGGAAGUAUCUCAAGCCAUUCCUUAUGUUGACUGAUCAUCUAAAUGAACCACAAAGUGUCUUGGAUGAUACUCAAGCUUCAAACAAAAGAUGUUAGUGAACAUUUUUGUGUUUUGGUUAGUAAAUAAAAAGUAAGAGAAACAAUGAUGUAUAAUUCAAGCAUGCUUGGUGAUCUCAAACCAAUCACAAGGAGUCCACCCAAAGGCAAGGGAACAAGUGCUAAAGAUCCUGAGCAAUGCAAAUGCAAUGUUUAUGCCAUGAGGAUCUUAAGGUCAAAAUUGGGGUCUUACAGAUGCCCCUAUUUAAGGUCAUUCUAGCCGGAGAAGUGAAGGUUAAAAUCUUCGUCUCGGGUAGAAUGGGCUUAAAUAAUAAAAAGAAUGAAUUUUGGUCCCUAAGAACCUCAUGAUGCAAAUGUAGGUAUGAAAAAUGGUAGCACUCUGUGGAGAUAUGUGUCCACAAAAGCAAAGAAAUCAGAAGCCACUGAUAAUCCAUAUGAGCAAUUCACUCCAUGGGACAAGACCCUGGGACUCUCCUGGGGAUAGAAAAGGAUAAAAAUGCGCGAGCAGGUCACGACUCAAAGCGUGGGAACAGAAUUCCAAGGGAAAAGAUCCAAUGAAAGACUCGAGCUGACUCGAAGAUGCAUGUAUUGGGGAAAUAUGCAAUACAGCAAAAAACUAUCCACAGCGGAUACUUCGGAUAAAAUUCGGAUGAAACGAUCCACUAAGGGACUUGCUGGGAUGUCCACAAGGACACUCCUGGGGAAGCAGCGGACGAGGUAUUACUGGUUACUGGUAAUAAGCUCAAGGAGACAUGUAUCUGAACGCCAGGUAUGAGGGUGAGAGAUACAACAUGCUCAGGAGAGAUAUAUCAAGACCGGCGUAAGGGUGAGAGAUAUCAAAACUUCAAAACGUCUGAGGAAAACUAAAAGGUAUACUUCAACUCAUGGAUUCUGACUCCACAGGGGACAAAAGUAUAAUAGGGAGCAGGAGGAAGGAACACCAGGGAUACCAGUUACUGGCAUAUAAUAGGUGACAACCAAAGACGUGAAUUGGGAAUAUUCCAAACACUCAUCAUCCAAAAGAGGGCUAAAAGCAAACUCGAUUAAGGAUGGGUAUUCGACUCCACAAAGGGGAUACGAAUCUUACUCAACUGGGGAGAACAAAAGGCUUCAGACCCGGAGUGCAUGAGAUAUACUAUCUAUUACCGUCAGAACGUAGAUAAUAUACUCGCAUGGACGAUUAUCCACAACGGUUACUGGGUUAAUAAAGGAUAAAUCGACCGAAAAGAAAAGCAUCGGGAUACCGAAUAGGUAUAUAAUGAUGACCAAUUCAGGGGAGAAACAAUCGUUACCAACAACAACAAGGUAGACGAGAGAUGACCCGCUGGGGAUAAAUGCGUAAUCAGGGCAAUUAUCAAAUCGAUAAGGGGAUAUCGUCACGAAUAUGGAUGAAGAUAAUUGUCACCAAUUAAAGAUGAGCAAAAAUAGUUACACUGCAAAAGGGAAGAAAAUAGGGUUUACAACUACGGUAUGAGGAUAGAGAAACACAGACUCCGUCGGGGAAUAUAUAAUUACUAAUUAUUGAGCAAUUAUUCAUUACCACGGGGAAACAGGAAAGAGUCUAAGAGACCGAUUAGGAUCAACUGAUAGGACAGCAACAAAUCAAGACUUGUCCGGUGAGGUAUAAUCAAUGGGGAAAACUCCAGUAUAUGUGUUGGGAAGGAAAAAAACAAUGACAUCCACGAGAUAUAACCUGGUGGGGAAUUAUGGAAGAAAGGAUAGACGCUUUGCUACUAUGAGCUGACUCUAUAUGGAGAGAUCACACACACACGUCUGCUUGGGGAAGUAUAUCACCAAAUAGUAGGAGACAGCAACAACGAUAUUAUAUGCAAAGGCAACAUGACUAUCUGAAUGUUAUAUAUUAUGCAUGUAUAUGUGUGGUUUAUGUAUGAUGUAUAUGUUGACAACAGACAUAUCUAACAAACCAGGUCCAGGAAUCAACCACCAGUUACUACAUCUCAAGAGAGAAAGCCAAGUUCACGCGGGAGUAUCAAUCAUGGUGGGGAUCAGAGAUACAGGAAGCAAAGAAUCUGUAGGGAUGAAUCAUCAAUCAUUCCAGCUGGGAGAGAGUUAUCACAGACAAGGUCCACCACACCAAAACUCUGUAAGGGAUGAAUCAUCAAUCAUUCCAGCUGGGACGAGAGUUAUCACGAGACAGGUCCAACCACAAACUCUACUGGGGAUUAUCAGUGCAUUUUGAUGCAAAUUCUUCUAUAUUUAUAUUUAUGCUAUUUCCAUGUUUUAGUUUGGUUAUUUUUCACUUUUAAUGUGUUUUCAUAAUUUAUGUUAUUUUUGUUUCACUUAUUUAAUUUUCGUAUUUAAUUUUCAGCAUUAGCAGCUUUCGCGAGAAAAAACAUAUCUUGAGCUAGGAGUAUCAGAUUGGAAAGUGCUACCAGUCGAUGGAAAGCUAAGAAAAAGAUCUACAACUUUUGUUCAGAAGUCGAGAGCUGAAUCAGACUGGAGAAGGGCAUAAAUUCGUUGAAGUUGCAGGAUUAGUUUUAUUUAAGUUUGGGUCAUUAAUUUUGGGUUUGGGUUAUGUUUUCGAUCCAGUGGGUUGUAAACCAAAUUCCUUGUUUUCAUAUACCUAAGCAGCGAUAACAUUAGGAUCACUAUUGACGAUUACUUGAAAGCUUUGGCAAGAAUUCUCAAUGAAGAACUAAUCGAUCCAAACAAUUUGUUGUAUUCGGUCCGAUACCUGAGAUUUUAGUAAUUCUUAUUCAGGUUUUUUAUUCCUUUCAUAUUAACAAAUGUAUUUUGUUGCUUAAUCCGAUUUACAUAUGCUAUAUUGAUUUAAUCUGAUUGAUUGUGUGAUCCUAACUAUAGUCACGAUUUCGUUUGCUUAAUUCGUUAUCGGGAGUCCGUUUAAUUCAUGAAACUUAAUCCCGUUUGUUAAUUCGGAUAAUAGGAGCAUACAACUUAUACUAUCAAUUGCGCUUGUCAGUUGAUAUUAUAAUCGAAUAGGAAUAGUUAAUCUGCGGUUGAUUACGAUAGUCGAUGAUAGCAAAGACCGAUAUAGUAAAUUGUUGCUACAGCUUAUUUCAAUAAUCACUUAUUUUAAUCUAUUUUUUUAAUUGAAUCCUAAACCAACCAAAACCUCAUUAAUCGUUACUAUCAUUGGUUAAUUCAUUCAAGAAUCCUUGUGAGAAUGUAAUCCGAGUCAAUUUGUCGCUAAACUACAUUUUUGAAAAUACUCAUUUUUGAUCCGCGCGCGACAGCGGAUCAGGAAUCUAUCCGAGGAGAUAAAGGAUUUAUCGGGAUCAACCACCAAAUAAGCUCUUGCCAAAGAGAUCCAAGCUGCUGAGAAGAAAGAUUGUUACUCUGCUGAAGGAAGAGAUGGUGACUCUCACAAGCAAUUCACUUGGUAGGAUCAACACAAAAGUUCCGGAGGGAGGAGUAACAUCAUGCCGAGGAAUAUGGACAAAAAUCUUACCUGUGGGGAUGUACCCCCUUGGAGAGCACUGAGGAUCUUCUAAGUAUCCUUUCAUCAUUGUGAAUGUUCACUUUGUUUAAAAACAAAUUAUAAAAAAUUUGAUCGUUUAAAAAUGAUAUUUUCUUAAUCAAAACAUGCAAAACAUUUGUUGAAUAGAAACAGAUAAGAGUGCAAUAAUUGGAUAAAGACUCAAAUUUUUUGAUAGAAUGUAGUCUGCGAAUGGCAAGGCUCCAUAGAUCUUUACAAUUUGAAAAUUGGUGAUAUAUAUUGGAAAGGGCUACAUUGAACAUAAUGACCACUUCCAAUUUGAAUCCGAUGUAUUUGAAGCUUUGGUUGAUAAUGGAGCAAGAAUCUCUGACGAUGACAGUUGUAGAACAAAGUCUUGUCAGGCAUGCAGUUAGCAAAAUCCCUAAUUUUUGCCUAGAUGCCCCAGGAUAGGUACUCAAUCUAGCGGGAUACAAUAUAAUUAUAUAUCUUUUAUGUCUCUAAUUUGCCUGGAUCGCCUUUUGGUUUUCAAUCCCCAAGACGCUCAUUUUUGCCUAAGCGCCCUUUCGGGUUUUCAACUUAGCGAGCUAUUCAGUUUUUAUUUUUUUUGCGAAGUAUCUCUUGACUGCAUAUGAAUUCACAGAACGAGUGAAAUCCUCCCCAUCCAUAGUUGUAAGUAUCAAAGCACUGCCUGAAAAGGCUCUCUUAACACAUAUGGACCUUCAUAGUUUGGAGUCACUUGCCCCUGGAAUCGGCGCGAAGACAAAACUUUCAUUGGAGCCAAGGUCACCUUCUGGACACACGAGGCUGCCUUCUUAUCAAAAGCUUUCUCAUUCUUGCUGAUAUAACUGACCAUGGACAUUAGCCGUCAAUCUCUUCUCUUCAAUCAAUUCAGCUGGUCAUAACGACUCUGAACCCAUUCAGCAUCAGUCACUUGGCUUCCAUCAAGACUCUCAUUGAUGGGAUCUUCACCUCUACAGGGAGUACAACCUCCGAUCUUGACUUAUAGCGAUCAUGUCGUCAAAUAUACCUCAAUCUCCUUAUGCAUCAUGUCAUGGAACAAGGUGUCAUAGCUCGUUGAUACGUGUCCGGGUCUCAACCGAAGGGCAACUCGAUAACAGAAUGUUCCCCAAGGUGUGAUGAAUGUUGUCUUCUCCAUAUCCUCGGGGUGCAUUUUAAUCUGAUUAUAUCCGGAGAAAUUCCGUCCAUAAACGAGAAGACAUUGAAUUUAGUUGUAUUGUCUACCAAACAUAUCAAUUAUGUGGUAAGGGAAUCAUCUUUCGGAUAGUUUUAUUCAAGUUUCUAGAUGUCCACACACAUCCGGACUUUCCGUCUUUCUUAGCGGGCACAAUAUUGCCAUCCAUUGAGGAUAUGUAGAAUCACCGCAAACCCCCUAUUAGCAAAUUGCUUAAGGAACUUCUUUUGAUUUUCAUUGCAUAUCAGGAUGGUUCUUUUGAGUUCUGCUUCACAGGCACGCACUCAGCCUUUAAAGUAGGAAUGUUGCACAAUAUCACAUAAUCAACUCUUCUUAACAAUUUCAGAAGUGCCCAAUCUCUACUCUCGCACACAAUCUCAGACCCAAGUUGAUUGUUUCACGAUUCUCAACAAUGCGGCUGAAUGAUCUUCUCUCAUGCUCAGUAGACGGGUAUCUCAUACUAUAGGAAUCUCUUCAACAUCAUCUUCCUCUGCCUCAAAUACAGGGAAUUCAAAAUUGGGAGAUGGUGUUGGGUCAUUAUGUUCAAUGGGUUUAGAAAUCAACCGGCAUAAUGAUUUUGGAUAUGAAAAGAUUUAGAAUUCAAACAAGGCAAAUCAUUAUGCAGAUGAAAGAUUGAUUUUAUUCCAUUUUGAGGUUUUAUGUGAUCACCAAUUUCAUGCAAAAGCGAAAAGGGAAAAUAAAUGGAAAAACAAACAUUUAACAUGAAUUUAUUGAAUGAAAAUAUCAAUGUACUUAUGCGCCAACAAUGUCAUCACUCCUCCUUUUAGCAUGGGAGAAGGGUUUUCAAACAAAGUGAUUAUUACGUUGACUUAUGGACAACUGUUGGAAUAUCCACAGCGACCCAAUUGUUGCAGACCCCUCCAGGGAUGAUGAAAUUGCCAUAAUCCUUUGUAUCUUCUUCUAAAACGGAAGUAGCCUCCUCAUCUAGACCAGUGUGGAUGAAACCUCCACUCUUAAAUAACCCUUGCUUGUUGAAAGUACCAGAAGAAAAACCUAUGCCAGCCCGGGACUCGUUGUCUUCUAACUCAAUCAUUUUUCCUAAACCAGUGGUUGCACCACGCUCAAUGGCCAACUUUGCAUCUUGGUAGGAAGCAAAUGAAGGAGUUCUCUUCUCAAUAGGCUCAGCUAUAGAUAAAGCUUGGAAAGGAGUUCCAAUUUCAACCUCAGCAUCUAUAUAAGAGAAGGAAGACAAAUGGCUAACCAGGAGAGCCCUUUCUCCCCNNNNNNNNNNNNNNNNNNNNNNNNNNNNNNNNNNNNNNNNNNNNNNNNNNNNNNNNNNNNNNNNNNNNNNNNNNNNNNNNNNNNNNNNNNNNNNNNNNNNNNNNNNNNNNNNNNNNNNNNNNNNNNNNNNNNNNNNNNNNNNNNNNNNNNNNNNNNNNNNNNNNNNNNNNNNNNNNNNNNNNNNNNNNNNNNNNNNNNNNNNNNNNNNNNNNNNNNNNNNNNNNNNNNNNNNNNNNNNNNNNNNNNNNNNNNNNNNNNNNNNNNNNNNNNNNNNNNNNNNNNNNNNNNNNNNNNNNNNNNNNNNNNNNNNNNNNNNNNNNNNNNNNNNNNNNNNNNNNNNNNNNNNNNNNNNNNNNNNNNNNNNNNNNNNNNNNNNNNNNNNNNNNNNNNNNNNNNNNNNNNNNNNNNNNNNNNNNNNNNNNNNNNNNNNNNNNNNNNNNNNNNNNNNNNNNNNNNNNNNNNNNNNNNNNNNNNNNNNNNNNNNNNNNNNNNNNNNNNNNNNNNNNNNNNNNNNNNNNNNNNNNNNNNNNNNNNNNNNNNNNNNNNNNNNNNNNNNNNNNNNNNNNNNNNNNNNNNNNNNNNNNNNNNNNNNNNNNNNNNNNNNNNNNNNNNNNNNNNNNNNNNNNNNNNNNNNNNNNNNNNNNNNNNNNNNNNNNNNNNNNNNNNNNNNNNNNNNNNNNNNNNNNNNNNNNNNNNNNNGGGGAACCCAAGCUGCCGACGUGCCAAAACAGGAUUGUAGUUAAUCCCACCACAUGUACCAAGAAGAGGUACAUUGGAGAAUUCGCCACAAGAGUCAAUAAUCUGCACACCAUCAUACACACGGUUAUACCAAGAGAUAUCAUCAUUAGUGAGAGACAUAAGUCUCGUGGACCACCGUAGACAUUCCUUGUUCUCCUUGAAAGUGACCGUCUGAGGUAAGUGAGAAAUAAACCACUUAUACAACAGAGGCAAACAACACACAAUGGCGCCACCACCCUUCGCAUUCCUCAUAUGCAAAGAGAAAUAGGUAUCGCCCAACAGAGUCAGAACGGGAUUAAGAGUAGAGAAAAUCCUAAUAGCGUUCACAUCCACAAACUUGUCGAUGUUGGGGAAUAACACUAGCCCAUAGAUAAGAAGUACAAAUAUGGCCUCAAAGGCGUCCUCACUCAUGACCUUCCCAUACAUAGUAGCUUGAGCAAUGAGGAACUCAGAAGGGAGACCUUGAACUCCACCUUUGGUAGUCAUAUUAGCAUCAACCAGAGAUUCAUCUAUGUGUAACAUGUCGGCUAUCUCUUGAGAAGUAGGAAUACUUUCCAAGCCACUGGACGGUAACUGGUCUAGAAUAGGUAUACCCACAAGGUAAGCAUACUCCUCAAGGGUAGGAAAAAGCUGGAAAUCCGGAAACGUGAAGCAACGGUAACCAAGCAGAGAUAUCAUCAACAACUGAAAGCAAUCACCACUCACACACCAUAUACAAUCUAUCUAUGGCGACGACUGAGUAGUCAGAAAGGAGAGUCGAAUACGUACAGCAUUUGCCAUAAACGAGCCUUGUAGAAACCUAGAAAAGGAAUCUAGAAUACGAAUUAGUGACUGUGUCGGAGAACAUUCUCUUAACCCUGAUAUCUUCUCAAUCUGUUAGUACUCUCGAAAACUGUGACUUACUGUAUGUGGAUGUCGGUCCUUCUUAUGUCUGUUCAAUGUCUGAAAAUUUUGCAAAUCAAGACUCAUCACAGUCCUUGAAAAUUGUCGUAUUAUUUGAUGCUAUGUAAUGCAGAAUGGGUGCAUGAAUGCAUGAAUGCAACAAUGAACCAACACGGCAAGCGGAUGAACCUACGCGAAAUGAGAAAGCAUAUCGAAACGCAGAAACAAAGGGUCAUGGGAUGGAUCAUGGGGUCCAUGCUAUAUUGCACGCUAGUAGAGAUUACUUCAAGGUUUCAAAUGCCAACUCUGGAUCCACUCCUCAUUUCGGGUAGAAUAGAUGCCUUUGUAAAGGACUCAGCCUAGUGAAGUGCAAUACACCAAUUUCCCAUUGAGAUAUGGUAACUGAGAUACUAGAACUAGGACUUCGAACAUCUUACAAAUCAUAAAAGGGGUAUUUGUUUGUCAUCAGUCCACCUAGAAUGCAUCGCCAUGUAGUCAUCCGGAGUGAAGGCUAUAAGUGCAUAAUGUGUGAAUAGGACAAUCCAUGCCAUACACAGGGGAGACUUAUCGGUUUCUAAACUGGCCAAAUCGGAAUGUUUCGUAAUAACUAUGAACAUCAAAAAGCUUGGCCAUACGUACCAUCUAACUCAUCAUGCAACGAGUAUGCGAGAGCCACUUUUCUUUGUAUGAGAUAUUAUCAGAAAGUCCAACAGAGAGAAGACAUGCAGAAACGUAUCUUACUCGCGGAUUGCAGCAAACAAAUUCUCUUGCACAACCGAGGAGGACUCGAGCUGAGUGUAGUUAUCUGCGUAACAAUCGUAUCAAACUCUAUACGCUUGAACGACUCUUGGCUACACACCCUACUCGUGCUCCUGGUCAAUAGUAAAGUCCCUAGGAGGCCAAUACUUUGUGGCUAACCAUUGUCUGUAAUUCGAGAAUUAUUCUCAUAGGCUUAUCAUUUCUUCUUUAUUUUAAUUAUAGGUAAAGUGCAAUAUAUAUUAAAUCUAUGUUUUCUGCAAUAGAUCGUCCGUUAACUCUAUUUCAAAACGGUAGACUUAAUCAUAGAAACCAACUCCUAUACACAUAUAAGGGACACAUACUUCAACCUUACAUGAGUACAUACUACGCAAGAUCACGACGGCAACCUUAGAUGUGCACAUGAAUCGUCAGUGAGGAUAUCAUCAAAUAAGCAUAUACAGUACUUAUCUAACCGUUUGUAGACUGAUGAUCACAUCUUCAUGGAUCAUAGGACUACAUAGAGAUUUAUCAAGUCUUAAACUCACAUAAUGGCUCUAUCACUCGACAACAAAUAGUCUUUUAGUCAUGAGUAAUUAUCUAUAUCUCACACCUGGCGGAUUGACUCAGACUUUACUAUAUAAGAUAUAACUAAUAUAUAAGAAAGUUAUAUGACAAAGUGUCAUAAGUUAUUUGACUCUAAUAUGGUGAAAUUGAUGUAAUAUAUCACACUUAUCGAUAUCACUGAAUCACACUAUGGAUCCUAGCUGUAAAAGUCGAGUGCUUUUUGAUUAUGUACUAUGUAUUACCAACGUUGUUCCGUAACUGGAUAUAAACCCAUUAUAAAGACAGUUGGAAUGGAGGUACUACCAACAGUAAGCAUGACUGAGGAGAACAAUGAGUGUCUAUAGAAUGGAAAUUAUGCCCAUACCUGUCGAUAAGCUAGGAUUAAAAUGUUCAUAGGCCGCAAUAUUUUAGGAACUAGGACAAGAAUGAACAGCAGUCUAAUACCUUUAGUGUUCAAUAUAGACAUUAUAGGGCAGGGGUAAUUAGUAUAUAUAUACACAUAAUUUAAUUAUAUCACAAUUAGAGGUUUCUGUCAGAAUCACAUGACAUUUUCGAGUUAACUUGGGUAGUAAGUGAAUGUUUCUUAGAGAUACCGCUCUAACGCGUACUGUUAUAUUAUAGUAAAAUUAAUGAUUUUAUAUAAUUGGCUAUGAAACUACAGGUACUAGCAAGAUAAACCUAUAUAUAGGGUCCACACAAAGGACGGAAUUGAGUGAGCAAAUAGUAUUAAAUAUACUAAGGAACACCGUACGGUACGGUGCACUUAAGUGAAACGGAAAAUAUGGUAAUAAGUGAUACCAAAUACUAUAGAUGAUUAUUUUGGCAUAAUUUAAGAGAUAUGGGAACAUAAUUAUACACUUUAAGUGGCUGCAUUUUUAGCUUGAAGCCCACACAAGGUGGUUAUCAUAUAAAUAGAAACCCCUUUAGGUUAGAAGCCAUUGUCACUACCACUCUCACUCACAGAACUAAAUCAAGUAGAGACUUGGAAUUUUGUUUACCUCUUUCUCUCACUCAAACCUUCAUUUACCAUAACAGCUAGCAUACUUAUUUAUAUAGAUAAACGGUUAUUGUGUGUGAUAAACUCAGAUUAUUUAGCGAAAAGAAAAAAAAUAUUGUUAAGUUGAAUUCGUUUAGACAAAUAAUUGCUCCAGGACUCCGUUUUCUAGUACGAUAACGUUGUUCCGGUACUGUUGAUCAUCAUACGUAUGUGAAACGUCUGACUUAUUUUUAUUCACGUUGUGUGUAUUCAUGUAAACUAUAAGGUUUUGAUAAUUUAUUGCAGAUGAAUACAUUGUCAUUCUCUAAUUCCAAUAGUAUGAAUCAUGACACAAGAGUAAACUAGAUUCACUAUCGAGAGAAAUAUUAAUCAUUGGAAAUGCAAUAAUUUUACAAAGUCUGUUUCAAACGAGUGUUUCUGUGAAAGGAACACAUAAAAUUGAGUAUGCGAGUAAUCCAUAUAAUAUACUCGCUUUUUGAGGCGUUUGCCGGGAAUGAAUUGUGCUCCUAUCAGAGUAGGUGUUAUUGAAGUAGCUCCACUUCAACUAUGUUAUAUACACAUUUCGCAACACUAUGAUAACAAGUUUAGAUAAUGUCUAAUGUAAAUAAUCAUAUAGUAUAUUAAGAGACAGAAUGAAAAUUCAAAAGGUAUAAAAUGAUGUUAGCUAAGUUAAUAUCAAGUUAUCAAUUUAUCUAUAUGAGCUAGUAUCACAUCAUUGUAAUAUUUAUAUUUUUAUUUUAUAAUUUAAAAUUAAUUAAAAUUUAUAAAUUAAAUACAGUUUUUGUCAAAUACAUAUUAGAAUAUUAUUCUUUAAAUGUAAAGUCUGACUCAUGCAUGCCGUGAAUCUCUUUUUAAAUAUUUAGAAUAGUAUAUAUGAAUGUACUGACUACGAAUAACUCCAAAAUACUAUAAACGCAUUUUGUUUAUUUGAAUAUUGCGCACUGGUUCAUUUAUGCAGCAAAUCAAGCACAAAAAAUACUAGCUCCAUCACAGUACUAAUGAUGAGAUAAUGAAAGAACAGUUUGACUCUGCAAUUUUAAUACUCAUACUAAAUUAAUCAUCUUAACUCAUUGUAAUAGCAAUUCGUUAUGGUGUAGAACUACAAAACUAAUCAGAAAUUUAGACCUAGUUAGCAAGGCAUGGAACGGAGCAAAAAUAUGUCAACAAUGUCUACCAUCUUCUUUCAAAUGAUACAAGUAAGCUACAUUCAAAAUGUCGUAAAUCAUCCAGCUUUGGUUUCGGAUAGAUUUUGGCUCUAUGUUCUUCCUAAAAAAAUUCAGAAAACAACUUUGCGUUUUGGCCCUCGUUCUAGGCAAGAAGAUAAUUUCCCUAAAACGCCUGAUAAGCAUAAUAUCAUUAUGAAAAAUAAAUUAUUCUAUGAUAUAUGUGUUCUCCAAUAUUAGAAGAGUUAAGUUACCACUUGAAUCUACUGGCCAUCAUGAGAAUUCUAUUGUCUCUUAGCGAUGACAAGUUUAGUGGUCGUUUGCCUCUAUGAGCUGGGCCACCAGAGAUGAGAAACGAAGUGGAGACAUAACGAGCAUAUACACACAGUUCAACUGCAGCAUUAACUCGUUAUCAUUAUCUGAGGAGAAGUUGUAAGCAGAAACAGCGACAUAAGCACCGUGUGUACAGAUGUGAUGAUUCCGUGUGCCAUGGGAUCACUGCACAUUGCAUAUGAUUUUGACCGGAGUACGCACAGAAAUCAGUGGUGCACUAUUCUAGAGAAAUUCAUAAAUGUACGCAAAUGCUUUUGCAUCUUGGCACUGAGCCAGAAAAAAGAUAUCGUCAGUUGAAUUCAAGGAAGAAGUUGCGCAGCAAUUGAGCUACAUGGGAUGCAAGGUUUCCAAAAAUGAAUUUGUUUUCCGGGUUUGACUGACAUAAUACAAACGAUGGUGACUUUGUGGACACGCUAUAUAACACUACAUAUCUUUGUAUAUAGUCGUAACACGAUUAGGGGCGAUUAAAUACAGCAUUAGUGGUAAGAUAACACCAGUUAACGAGAAACUGAAACAAGCCUUCUAAAUCAUUUUUUCGGACCAAUAAAUUUCAAUUUCAGAGAGCUUACACAUACCAUAAUUUCUGUAUCAAAACAAGACUCAUAACACACAAUCAAAGUAGCAUAACAGCGAAACACUAAAGUGAGUUUAAAUUACAACUAUUUUUAUAGCAGAAUAUGGAUGACAAAAUAAAACGAGACACAAAGUAUAAACACUAGUUUAGCAUGCAGCAAUAUUCAACAUACAUAGUAGGGUUUGAUGAGUCAACCACGCAAGUAUAUUAGAACGCAGCUUAAGGCUACAAGCGAUUGUAUAGCGCAAUAGAGGAGCGCGGACACAAAUAGCCCAGAUGCUUAUCACCAAGAAUUAUCAAAGUCAGAUUAAACAGGCCAGAGCAACUAGAGUUAACAGCAACCGCAUAUAUAGAGAGUGCAUAAGAGCAGAAACUUAAAACAGCAUAACCAUGCAGUGGAAGCGGCACGACAAAGGAAGAAAAUUCUAUCAUAUACACUUUUACAAAAUUUCACUUGUGAAUAACAGAAAAGGAAUGAUUAAACAAAGUCUCUAGCUUCUAACUGAUAGGCUAUGAUUAAUAUAUAAACUAUCAAAUACGGACGGCCGCAAACAGUUUUUGGCGAAUUUCUUCGGUUCACAGAAAUACAUGUCACCUUGAAUAUCAAGUGUAUAGAUACCGUUCGAAAUACAGACGUCAUUGUUCUCAAUCAAGUAAAAUUGUUCACGCGAAUAUAUAAAAUACCUUGUCACGUUUGAGAGCCGCACACCAUGUUGGCGAGUUGCCCCUUCAACACCCGUUCCCGUUGUCCGGGGCACGGACUCGAGAGACUUUCUCAGCCGCUAGAGAAGAAUCGAAUAUCGGAAGUGCGAGUCACGAUCUCGUUUUAAGCCCGAACAUUUCUAAAGUUCUGAUUUGUAACUUAAGUGUUGAAAUGCGACAUUAAUACAUGAAAAGUAAAGAUCUGACAAGCUGAUGUUGAGUUAGUCAUGCUAUAGUAGGUCGAUCGAGGAUUUAUGCGCAUUGAUUAGUUUAUUACCCUAUUGUUAUUCUGUUUGGAUUUUCUCAAAAUAAACGACCUGACGUGGUCGUGGCCUCUCCCUAAUCUCGCUCUCCAAAACAUUCAAUUAGUUAGUUUCAUUUAACACAGCUGAAUUUUGGUUUUAACUUUCAUAAUUUUGAUUGUAAGAGUAUUAAUAGACGUGACUCUAAUUGCCUAGACUCACGGUAAAUCAUCUAAUGCAAUUAUCCACUCAUUUAAGAACCCAACUAUUAAGGGCAAGAACUGUGUCACAUCUAGGGCAGUUUUAUUUUUAUACUCCAAACAAAAACUACAAAAAUGGAUAGUACUAAUCUGAAGCUAGGAUUUUAAAUACGGGCAGAUACGUAGAAUAAGCCAUGAUGUUACAUGUAAAAGCAUAAAUCUCCUAUCACAACACAACAAACCAACAACGCAAGCCUUACCACAAAUGCGGCUACAUGGAUCACAAAGGUAAGGAAACUCGUCGCCCGGUAAAGGAAGAACUCAAGCCAGCUUAUCACACCAACUGCGUCAAGUAGAUGUUAGAAAUAAGAAUCUUAAGUAAAAUGCCCCCACAAAAGACACCAUCAUGAACUCAAUCAACCCUGAUACCCAUCAGCAUGUUGAUCACAACCACUCAUCUAUAUCAAGAUUUCCCAUAAGCGCGAGAAAAAAGGCUGAACAGAGGCUAGGCAGAGACAGAUACCAGACAAGUGGAAGACAUACGGUACCGACUUCGCUAAGGAGUGGCCGGCAUACUCUUAAUCCAGGCUCGGCUUCCCCUCCCUCUCUCUCUGCUCGUUCUUCUCCCGUCGUGUGCGCUCUGGUUCUCUUGUCCGCUCUCUCUCUCUCAUCUCCCUCUUGCAUGCCCUAUCUUCCUCUCCUCUCUCUGCUCUUCUUUCCUACUCUCCUCGCCCUUCAAUACUCUUUACUCUCUCUUCUCUUUUCCUCUGUUAUCUCUGUCUCCUCCCAAAUGUAACUUUUUUUCUCAUCUCACUCCUCGUAUGUAAAACGAGUUUCUUUCAUGUAAUGUAAUGAUAAUAAGAAAGCAAGAGAAGUCAGUUCCAAAGGAGGACAACCUUGAAGAUGCUUGCUUGGAGAAGCUUAGAUCGUUGUUAGGUUAGCUUAGGUUCUCUCAUUGGCUUGGGAGAACAAUUGCGCUAGGGCCAUAACUGUUUCAUUAUGUAUGUAUGUAUGUUGAUGCAUGUGAAUGUAUGUUGAUGCAUGUGAGAGACGGUUUAUAUGAUAAACAAGCCGGUGAAUCAGAAAAAUUGCAAUUCCUAAAUUAAAUUUAAGUUACAUGCUUCCAAGUUUAAGCACUCACAUGCAAGACUAGUAAUGGAUAAUGUAGGUUUCGCCUACGCAGGUGCAUGUUCUAUAUAUUAUAAGGUGGCGAUGGGAUAAUUGUAAUAUCCAACUGUUAAAACAAUGGAUCAAACUUAACUAAACAAAUUAUGAGAAUAUUAUAUAUGUUUGCUUUCCAAGUUUAGCAAACUCAUCAAGACUGGUAUCGAAUAAUGUAGUGUUUCGCCUACGCGAGAUGCAUGUUUGUAUUAGUUAAGGUGCGAUGGGAUAAUUGUAUCUCCAACUGCUAAAAACGAUGAGUUAAACUUGAUUAUAAUUUCUUAUAUAUGUUUAGAAGCAAGAGUUAGGAAUAACCAUAUGAUGGAUUGGAAUAAGGAGUUAUUCACCCAAUUGAAAUUUUCGAGAGUUGUAGAGAUACAAUUGAAGGAGUUCCUACCUAAAUAACCUAGUUUUGUGUAAUCCGCCUACGCGGACUUAGAACGAAGUGAAAUAUGGAUCUCGACCCACUAGAAGAAAUCUUCCAACGGAUUCCGAAUCAAAUGAAUGAGGGUCAUUUGUUUUGAAGAAAGUGGGAGCAUAUUUAAUUAAAGGCCUAAUUGAAUAUGUCAAUGAUACUUAUAUUUUCAUUAAUCCCUUAUGUAAUUACCAUGACAGCUUACACAACUUAACCGUGUUCCAUCCAAAAGGUUGAAAGACACCAUAUGAAGAUAUGGAGUGGGUAAGAGACCACAUGUGUCUUACAUGAAGAUUUGGGGUUGCGAAGUUUAUGUGAAACGACAAAUUUCAACUAAGCUUAAGCCCAAAUCUGAACCAAUGCUUAUUUUGGGGGUAUCCAAAGAAACAAGAGGAAUAUUACUUCAACAAUCCUUCGGAGGGCAAAGUGUUUGUCGCUCGAACUGAAGUUUUCCUAGAAAAGGAUUUAAUUCCAAAGGAACCAGUGGGAGGAAAGUAGAGCUUGAAGAAUUUAAAGAAUCACAAGCAUCGAUACACCUAUGGAGGAAUAGAGCUGGAAACACAAGUAGGUUGUGUAAGAGCAACCUGCUCAAGAUAAACAAGACCAACGUAGGUCAGGCAGGAUACAUCACCUACCUGAGUAUAUGGAUAUGAUCAAAGGUGAUGUAUUACUCAUGGAUCAAGAUGAGCCUGUGACCUACUCAUGGAAUCGUUCGCCUUGAGAAAUAGUAAACUGUAUGGAUUCAUCAAGAACGAAGAUGAGCCUUGUGUCUACAAGAAGGUUAGUGGGAGCAUGAUCGUAUUCCUGGUAUUAUAUGUAGAUGACAUAUUACUCAUUGGAUCGAUAUCCCUACCCUGUAACAAGUAAAGUCUUGGUUGGGGAAAUGCUUUUCUAUGAAGGACCUGGUGAAGUAGCCUAACAGAAAUCUAUAGAGAUAGAUCAUGAAAUGCUUGGCCUAAGUCAGAGUACAUAGACAAAGUGCUGAGACGCUUUAAUAUGAAUGAUUCCAAUCUGGUUAUGUGUUUUGCUUAAAUGGUGGCACUGUGAACUUGAAAAGUUCAACGCAAGAUGCAGUUGUUGAUUCUACAACCGAGGCCGAGCAUAUUGCUGCCUUAAGUGCAGCAAAGGAAGCUGUUUGGAUCAAUAAACUUGGCAUAGUCCCUAGCAUUGUGGAUCCCAUUCGUUUUUCGUUCUUUUUAUUUUUUAUUUUUUUUAAACACGUGGGCUUCGCCUAGCGAGCAUGACAGUUCAAGAAAUUCCUCUGAGCGUAGGUGAUUCUGGUGGCUUUUCUUGGGACUCGCUAGGCAAUCCAUUCUGCUCGCCUAGCGAGCAUGACAGCUCAUGAACAAACUUUUGUUUCUUCAAGAUUAACGUUUUGACUGACGAAUAGACCCCAUUUGAACCUGUUGGAAGUAUCUCAAGUCAUUCCCUUGUGUUGACUGAUCAUCUAAAUAGAACCCACAAAAUGUCUUGGAUGAUACUCAAGCUUCAAACAAAAGAUAUUAGUGACACAUUUUUGUGCUUUUGGUUAGUAAACAAAAGUAAGAGAAACAAUGAUGUAUAAUUCAAGCAUGCUUGGUGAUCUCAAACCAAUCACAAGGAGUCCCACCCAAAGGCAAAGGGAACCAAGAUGCUAAAGAUCCUUGAGGCAAUGCAAAUGCAAUGUUAUGAUGCCAUGAGGGACCUUAGGGUCAAAAUUGGGGUCUUACACUUGGAUGACCACUUAGCUCACCAACCAAUUGAAGAUUAUAAGUCAGUGCAGUAUGACUUUCCUGAUGAAGAGAUUUUGUACCUGGAAAUGAAAGAUUGUGAUGAACCAUUGCUUGAAGAAGGGCCAGAACCUGGUUCCCGUUGGGGUAUGGUAUUUGAUUGAGCUGUUAAUCAGUAUGGUAAUGGCAUUGGGGUAGUGACUAUUACUCCUCAAGGCACUCAUUUUCCGUUUACAUCCAGAUUGACUUUCAAGUGUACAAAUAAUACGGCUAAGUAUGAAGCUUGCAUUAUGGGGCUUGAAGAGGCCAUUGAUCUCAGAAAUCAAGUAUUUGGACGUCUAUGGAGUUUCAGCUUUGGUUGUGAAGCAGAUCAAAGGUGAAUGGGAUACGAAUCAACCCGGUUUGAUACCAUAUAUAUAUUACGCGAGGAGGAUUUCAACUUUCUUUACAAAGGUUGAGUUUCAUCGCAUCCCUCGAGAUGAAAACUGAAUGGCAGAUGCUCUUGCAACGUUGACUUCAAUGAAUGUGGUGAAGUUUUGGAAUGAAGUUCCUAAUUUGACUGUGAUGCGUCUUGAUAGGCCAACUAUGUGUUUGCUAUUGAAGAGGUCAAAGAUGAAAAGCCAUGGUAUUUUGAUAUCAAGUGUUUCCUCCAAAGUCAGAUUUACCCGCUUGGGGCAUCUUUAAAAGAUAAGAAGACUUUGAGAAGGUUAGCUGGCAACUUUUACCUGAAUGGUGAUGUGCUUUACAAGAUAAACUUUGAUAUGGUUCUGCUCAUAUGCAUGGAUAGACACGAAGCAGACUUGUUAAGGACUGAAGUCCAUGAAGGUUCAUUUAGUACUCAUUCCAAUGGACAUGCUAUGGCUAAGAAGAUGUUGAGAGAAGGUUACUAGUGGCUGACAAUUGAAUUUGACUGCUGCAAGUUUGUGAAGAAUGCCACAAGUGUCAAAUUUAUGCGAAUAAGAUUCAUGUUCCCCCGACACUGUUGAACGUCAUUUCCUCCCCAUGGCCAUUAUCCAUGUGGGGAAUUGAUAUGAUUGACAUGAUUGAGCCCAAAACUUUGAACGAACAUCGUUUCAUUUUGGUGGCUAUUGACUACUUCACAAAGUGGGUUGAAGCGGCAUUGUAUGCGAAUGUAACCAAGCAAGUUGUUGUGAGGUUUAUCAAGAAUCAGAUCAUAUGUCGUUAUGGUGUGCCAAGUAAGAUCAUUACUGAUAAUGGAUCUAAAUUGAACAAUAAUAUGGUGGAAGCUCUUUGCAAAGACUAUAAGAUUGCACAUCAUAAUUCUUCUCCCUACAGACCUAAGAUGAAUGGGGUUGUUGAAGCUGCAAACAAGAACAUAAAGAAGAUCAUUUAGAAUAUGGUUGUAACGUACAAGGAUUGGCAUGAGAUGUUCCCAUUUGCUUUGCACGGGUAUCGUACAUCCAUCUGAACAUCAGCAGGGGCAACCCCUUUCUCACUUGUUUAUGGCAUGGAGGUUAUGCUCCUGGUAGAGGUUGAGAUCCCAUCAUUGCGUGUCUUGAUGGAAGCCAAGUUGACUAAGGUUGAAUGGUGUCAGACCAAGUUCGUUCAGUUGAAUUUGAUUAAAGAGAAGAGGUUAACUGCCAUGUGUCAUGGUCAGUUAUACUAGAAAAGGAUGAAUAAAGCAUUUGAUAAGAAGGCCAGAGCUUGUGUGUUCAGAGAAGGUGACCUUGUGCUCAAGAAGAUUUUAUCUUUCAAACCGGAUUCUAGGGGCAAAUGGACUCCUAAUUAUGAAGGCCCAUAUGUUGUUAAGAGAGCCUUUUCAGAGUGCUUUGAUUCUUAUAACUAUGGAUGGUGAAGAGUUCACUCGUCCUGUGAACGCCGAUGCAGUCAAGAAAUACUUCGCCUAAAAAGAAAAGAAUAGCUCGCUAAGUUGAAAACCCGAGAGGGCGACUUAGGAAAAAAUAAACCUCUCAGUGGAUUGAAAAUCCGAAAGGGAGAUCCAGGCAAAAGUUAGAGACAUAAAACAGAAAAUUUAUCCCGAUAAGUUGAGUACCCCACCUUGGGGAAAUUUAUGCAAAAGUUAGGGAUUAUGGAAAGUAACUGCAUCCUGUUGAUCUUCAGUCUUGAAGACACUCUUGAGCACAACCUUUUGUUCUGAUUCGUUUUCAACCGAAUCCAAGAGCAUAACAAAUAUUGAAGGCGGUAGAAGGAUUAGUGAUUAUUAUAUUUGUAAGACCCUAAUUUUGACCCUAAGAUCCCUCAUGGCAUCAUGUUAUUGCACAAGUGCAUUGCCUCAAGGAUCAUAGCCUGUUUGAUUCCUUAACCCUAAGGGUGGGACUUAUUUAAGUGUUUUGAAACCACCAAGCAUGCUUGUAUUGUAUAUUAUUUCUUUUCUUAUUUUAUUACCAACCAAAAGCACGAAAAUAGGUCACUAACUCUUUUUGUUUUGAAGCUCAAGUGAUCAUGUGUUCCAAUGCUCUUAGGAGGCUCCUAAGCCCAAUGAAAUGGCCAGAUGAAAAUGAGGAAAAGCAUGAAAAUGGUCCCCAAAGAUCCAAAUCAUCAUAUAUGCCUCCCAAGUAUCUCAAUUUUCCAAUUUUAUCAAGAUAACCCAAAGGGCUUGAGGAUUGUUUCCCAAGGAAACCCUAAUUUCACUAUGCUUUGACUGUACCUUGCCCAUGAAGCAAUCUCAACCUCUGAUCAAAUUUAAUCAAAGGAAGUUCUUUCAUUCAUCCUUUUAUGCAUAUAUGAGCCUAUUGGAGGCCCCUCAAUCAUUUAUUCAUCAAGAUUGGAAGUUUGGCCUUGAAAAGUUGAUCAGUCAAAGUCAUCUGACUAAACUGAGGUCUAUUGAGAUACAACUUUUGAUGUGUUUGUCAAAUAAAGAUGACCCCAAGAUAAAAAAUAUUAUUAAGAACCAUAUGAAAAACUUUCAUGUUCAUAAAAAAUACAUUUAAAACUUGGAAGGUCAUCAUUCAUUUCAAAACAUUAUAGGUCAUUUUGACUGAAACCCUAAUUUUGGGUCAACUUAUCAAAGGCAUAACUUCCUUAAUUUGUAUGAUUUUUAGGUGAGAACAAAUGCAUUGGAAAUAUUGAGGUGUCUAAUUCAAAUGUUAUGUUGGAUAAAAUUUCAUAAUCCUAAAAUAAAUACAUUUGAUAAAACAAAACAUUAUAGGUCAUAUUGGACCUAAUUCAUUGAAUUUGAAAAAGUACCCAACUUCAAAUGCCCAUAACUUUGUCAUAGAAAAUCCAAAUGAUGAAAACUUUGAUUCCAAAUUUAUCAUAUUGAAAAUAUCUACAAAUUUGAUGUUGUAGGUUUUUCCAUUUGAAGCUUUCAUCAUGAAACUAGAGGGGUUUGAUUAGGCUUGCUUUUGGUGAAAAUUUUCAAAUGUGACUUAAACAUGUUUUGUACUUGGAUUUUCCAGGCCAGUUUUCAUUAAUUUCCAAAUGCCAAAUGAAUUUUUUCCCAACAUGAUUUUUGUUCCUUAUUUCAAGGGCUUUGCAACCCUUACUCACAAUGCUCAUUUGGACUUACCAUUUGGGAUUUUCGAAGACCUUUCCAUUUAUGUACAUUUUGGUAUUUCAUGUUAUAACUUGGUAUGCAAGCUGAUUCCAUUUCAAAUGCAUGUCCAAAUCAUUUACAUGUGAUCCCAGCAAUAUAUUUCAUCCAUCAUUGGGCCUGUUACACGCUUGAACAGGCCCAUGCAAGCAAAUUUCAAAUGCCAUGCACAUGAAAGAAACGUGGGAUUCAGCUACCUUGAGCUAUAAAUAAAGGUUCCCUCUCAUUCAUUUGGCAACCUUUUGGAGAUCUGAAUUGCUGCAGCAUUGAAACCAUAGCCAUACCAAAGGAAUUUGAAUAAAAAUUUAUCUCACUUUCGAGCUUGAAAUUCAGCAUCAUUAGCUGAUCUUCAAAGCUUAAUUCCUUAACCUUUCACUUCCACUACAUCCCUAGAGCAAAGAGGAGUCAAGAUCUUGAAGAAAUCGUGGCCUGAAGGUCUUCAAUUCAGAGGUAUACAUUUAAACUUUUUGGAUCUAGAACUCUCAUUUCAAUGUAGCAUUCUUGUGUUUGUAUGGUUUUUUGAAGUCCUCACACUUGAGGCAAGCUUGUGAUGCUUUCAAUUUUCCAUUUCAUGAACUUUCAGUUUGAACACCAUGAUCUUCCACUUCACAUUUCUCUCAAUAUAGGAAGAGUGAGGAAGAUCCAUGGAUACAGUGGUGAUCUCCAUCACACGAGCUUCAUUUCCAUGGCUUUGUUUUUUAUUUUUAUUAAAUUUCAUUGUCCUGCAACUGGUGGCCGGAGGUUGUUGUUCCGCCAGAGAAGAUGGUGGUUUCCACCAUCAUCACCACGUGUGCACCUUCACAGCCCUUGGAUCUGGUUUUCACGUUUUAAUCGUGUGCAUCCAUUGUGUUUACUUCAUUUAAUACCUUAUGUGGCGCGUUUGACUUGGAUGUAGCGUGUUCCCCAUGAUCUGAACCAUUCAGCCUUGCCACAUCAAUUAAUGAAUCCAUCCUGUGGCGCUGGUUUUUUCCAUUAUUUCUAUUUUCAUUUUAUUUUCAGUUAAUUCCUUUUAUUUUCAAAAAUUCAUAAAAAAAUUCAUUUGAAGUCAUAAAAAUAUGAGACCAAUUCCAAAAAAUUUCUUGAAAAAUCUAGUUUCAUAUUUUAAUUUUUAUUUAUUUUUGUGACUUCAUUUGAUAUUUUUCAUGAAUUAUUUGAUUUUUAAUAGUUUUAAUUCAUUUUAAAAUACUUUCUGACUUUUGAAAAAUCCAAAAAUAUUUUCCUAGCAUUUAUAGAUCAUGAUAAAUCAAUGAAAAAUAGUCUCAUCAAUUUCUUAUUUGAUUUGAGAUUUAUUUGAGAUUUUAGUCCAUUUUAUGCUAUUUUUAAUUGUUUUUAAUUGUUUUUAAAUACUUUCUGGUUUCAAAAAUUUGUGAGAAAAUUAGUCAAAGUUUGUUUGACCAUGUUGGACCUAUGAGAAUUUAAUUAGACUUAUUAAAGUUGAUUUGAAUUGAAUUUGAGGUUUGACCUUAUUUGUUUAUUUUUUAUUUGCAUUUUAUUUUAAUUCAUAAAAUACCAAAAAAAUAUUGUUGACUUGUAAUCUUCAUUUCUUUUCUGUUUGGUGUUGAUUGAUGUUGGUUUGAUCCACAUUUGAUCAAUUGGAAUUGAUUGAUGUAUUCUUUUCCCCUCCCUUUCAUCUUCAUCCCAUUUUUUCCAUCAAUGGCCAAUGAGUUAAGUUCUUAUGGUUGGUCUUGACAAAUGAGAGGUUUAACCUUCUUUGAUCCAAACCAAACUCAACUUGAUCCAUGAUCAAGUGAGUUGUUUUGUGUCCAAGAUAACUUUGCUCACUUGAGCACAUAUUUUAUGUUUAUGUCAUUUUUCUUUUGCUCAUUUGAGCUCAUUAUUGUAUAUAAAUAUAUUGCUAUCUUGUGUUUGCUUUGUGUUUGUUUUGUGUGAACCAAAUGCUAAAGGAGAAAGGACUUAGAAUUAGGACUUACCUAUGCUUAAAGGAGUUCAAGAGCAACUAGGCCUCAUGCCUUUAGAAUGCUAAAUUGGUUGAAGAGCAACUAGGCCUCAUGCCUUUAGAAUGCUAAAAUUCCAAGUUGAUCUCAAAAGGACUUCUCUUCCAAACUUAUUCUUUGUCCAUUCCCCUUAUUGUGUUGUGAACUUUUUGAUGUUUGCUUGUGUGUGAUAGGGAUCCCACUUUGAGAUUGUGAAAAAAGGACCAUUGUCAUGAGUAGCCAAGUUAAGAGACAAGCCAAAUGGAGAUCCUAGGAGCUUGAAUGCAAAUUAUUGAUUGCUUGUUUGUGUGCUAAGUCCAAAGGAAAGGAGCAUCUUGAAUCAUCUCUAUGAUUCCAAGAAAAGGAACUCCAAGGGUUUAUCCUUCCCUCUCUUAUCUUUGUAUGCUUUAUGACUAGCCCUUCUCUUCUUCUCUCCAUUCUAACCAAGCCAAAAUCUUUUUCUUGAAACUUUGACUUUGUUUCAAAUUAGAAACCUAGGCCUUAAGCCUUUGACUUUUCAAAACCAUUUUCAUCAAUACUCAUUGUGAAUAAAUCUUAAUCCAACUUUGACUUCAUUUUGUAAAUAAAUCUAAAGGCCUUAAGCCUUUGACUUUUCAAAACCAUUUUCAUCAAUACUCAUUGUGAAUAAAUCUUAAUCCAACUUUGACUUCAUUUUGUAAAUAAAUCUAACUUGUAAAUAUAACCCAUUUCAAGUUGUUUUGUGGUUCCAAUGGCCACUUGUUAAAACUUUUCAUAAACAUUAGUCAUAGGUUUGAGUUAUCGUAGUGGUUGAUGUAAAUCUCACCUCAUCCUUAGUGAUUGGAUUAUAAGUCUUCCAUGCUUAUUAUAGGGUUAACCACUCACUAGCAUGUUGAAGCCUUACCCACAUGGUGGAUUGUUGGUUUAGGUUGAGUUUUCUCCCUUUGAUGACAAAAGACCUUAAGGCUUUUGAUCAAAUCAAUUCACCAAUCUUUGAGAUUUUUACCCCGAACUACGAGGUUUUGAUCCUCCUUUGUGAUGGUACGUAAGCAAUGGGUUCAUCCAUUCAAACAACAAAUUUGUAAAUAUAAUCUAUUCUCUUCUCAUCCCCCCAAUCUUUUGGUACAAAUAUUUUCACAAAUACCAACCUACAACACAUAUUUGCAAAAAGGGUUCCCUUAGAAUACUAAGGAUGUUUUGGGUGCGUAAAACCUUCCCAUUUCAUAGCCAACCCCCUUACCCAGAUCUCUGACAUUUUUAUUAGUUUUUUAUUUGAAAAACUUCUUACCUAGGCUUUUGUUCGCUUUUUAGCCUUUCCUUUGGACAAAUAAAAGUGCGGUGGCGACUCGAAUUAUAUGUUUACUUUUGGUUUAGUCAAUAAACCUAAAGGUAACAAAAACCCUGCUACAGAAAAGUGGCGACUCUGCUGGGGAAAGAAAUUCUCUAGUGGGUUUUGCCUACUUUUUGCUUAUGUGUGUUGUAUGUUUAUAUUUAUUUAUGGCAUAUUUUUAUGCAAAUUUGGGAUGAAUGUAUUGUUUGUAAUGUAUGAAUUGCUUGAUAUGUUAAUUGCUUGUAUGCUUGGUGGUUUCUUGUGAGAUGAGUUCUAUACCCGAACUUGAGUGCACUUAUGAUAGGAGAAUGGCAUAAUCUUGUUGACUUGUGUGGAGUUAUUCCUUAACAAGUUAACUUGCAAGCCCAUUCACUUGGUGGAGGUCUUGUUGGGAUCAAUAAUGUCACACGAGUAGUCGUGGUUAGGCAUUACUCUUUCCAAUAGGAACCAAACCUUAGAAACCAAGGACCUUAGAUACCUAGCCCAUCUUGGCCUAUUUUAGGACGUAGUGCGAAGGUCGUUCAAGUGUAAGACUUGAGGCGAUUGUUACGCGAUACUACACUCAUAAGAGUUCCUCGUUUUAUCCGAUAAUAUCCGAAAUAUGGGAUGAUGCCUAUGGGAACCUUUUUAGAACAUGAUUGUUAGGUUUAACCAUAGUACACUCCCGUAACCUUUGUAUGGUGUGACUUGCUUGAUCCUUGAGUGUGUUUGUUGCAUCCAUGCAUUCAUGCAUUACUUCGCAUUCAUGUCAUCAACAAUAAAGAUUUUUCAAGGAACAUAAGAGGUCUAUUUGCAAAUUUUCAGACAUGGAUAAGCAAAGAAGGAAUACGAAGAAGUACAGUUUCAGACAACCCGACUUGAAAGAGUUAAGGAGUUUGGCAUCUUAUGUAUUAGAGCCCUUAGAAUUUAAAGCUCGCCAUGGGAAGCUUCUAUCUAUUCUUUCUACUAAAGUGGAUGAGGGUCUGAUGAGUGUGUUGGUGCAGUUCUACGAUCCUCUGUAUCGAUGCUUCACUUUUCUGGAUUUCCAGCUUUUGCCUACACUAGAGGAGUAUGCCUAUCAUGUGGGUAUACCUAUUCUGGACCAGUUGUCGUUCAGUGGUUUGGAAAAGAUUUCGUAUUCUCAAGAGAUUGCUGACAUGCUUCAUGUAGAUGUAUAUGACAUUGUUGCCAAUAUGACUACCAAAGGUGGAAUUCAAGGUCUCCUGUUUGAUUUUCUGAUUACCAAAGCUACUUUGUUUGGGAAGGCCAUGAGUAAGGAAGCUUUUGAAGCCAUAUUUGUAUUCCCCAUCUAUGGGCUAGUGUUAUUUCCCAACAUCGACAACUUUGUGGAUGUGAACGCUAUUAGGAUUUUCUCUUCUCUUAAUCCCGUUCUGACUCUGUUGGGUGACACUUAUUUCUCUUUGCAUAUGAGGAGGCUAGUGUUAUUUCCCAACAUCGACAACUUUGUGGAUGUGAACGCUAUUAGGAUUUUCUCUUCUCUUAAUCCCGUUCUGACUCUGUUGGGUGACACUUAUUUCUCUUUGCAUAUGAGGAAUGCAAAGGGUGGUGGUUCCGUUGUGUGUUGUCUGCCUCUGUUGUACAAGUGGUUUAUUUCGCACUUGCCUCAGACGCUUGCCUUCAAGGAGAACAAGGUAUGUCUACGGUGGUCCACGAGACUUAUGUCUCUCACUAAUGAUGAUAUCUCUUGGUACAAUCGUGUUUAUGAUGGCGUUCAGAUUAUUGACUCUUGUGGUGAGUUCUCCAAUGUACCUCUUCUUGGUACAUGUGGUGGAAUUAACUACAACCCUGCUUUGGCUCUUCGUCAGCUUGGGUUCUCCUUAAAGGAUAAACCUAACAACAUUUCAUUGGAAGGCUUGUUCUUUCAAGAGGGUAAAGAUCCCCAGAAUUUGAAGGAUAGGAUGGUCCGCGCCUGGCGCAAAGUUCAUAGGAAAGGGAGGAUUGAGCUUGGUCCGAAGAACUGUGUUGCUUUGGAACCUUACACCUCUUGGGUAAGGAAAGAGAGCUCUGGAGUAUCGCAUGUCGUACGAGUAUCCGAGACCUACCCCUAUGGUUAUGGUUGGGCCUUCAACCCUCCCUAAUCAAGUAGUAGAGGAGUUGAGAGAUGAAGAUCGGUCGUGGCAUAGAUUCGUGAGCGUGAGUAACUUCUUCAGCAGCUCAAGGAUAAGGAUGCAAUGAUAGAGUUUCUAGAAUAUCAGGUUAUUGAUGAGCCUGAUGAUGUAGUUACUUCUCUCCUUCCUCACUCGUAUAGGUUUUGGAAGAGGAAGUAUGAUCAGCUCGCCAAGGAGAAGGCACACAUAGAAGCAGCUUAUGAGAGAGAGGUGAAGAGGCUUCGUGCGAUUUAUCUUCCAAUCUCGAAGGCGUUGGACGAUUGCUUCUAGGGCUCCAUAGGAUGUUCAUUCUCCUUUUCUCUUGUAUUGUAUUUGGUUACCAAAACUGUACUACUUCUUUGGUGUAAAAAGUUUCCAAAUAUUAUUGCUAUGAGUAUUCCAUAUAUGUCUUAAAAGUUUAAUAUCUUUCAAACAUUUGCAAAUAGAUCCCUAUAAAGUUCCUCUGAUAAAAAACAAAUCAUGUGCACAAGCAUUACAUGCAUCAUAUGCAUAAGCAGGUUUUGUUCCGAGCUCUUGAUCAGUGGUCUAACUCUUUGCUCUUCAUUUAUUUUGAAGACAAACUGACGCACCAGUAUAACACCAGAUCAAAUCAUCAGAAGAUCAUGGAACACCUUGAACAAGAGAACAGAGAUUUGAAGGAAGAGAUUGCUAGACUGACUGCCAUGAUGGAGUCAGUCCUUGCUGCGUAAAGUCAAGCUUCACCAACUCCUGCAACUCCUCCCGCGAGGACAGUCAUCUCUGAAGUGGUAACCUCAACAGUUCCUGCUGCCACAGCCCACUUCGCUCCUAGUAUGCCAGCUGGAUUCCCUUGGGGAAUUCCAUCUAACUUCAUGCCAUAUGGUUUCUCUCCCACUCUUGCUUUUAUACCGGCAUCUAGCCCGGUCCUGUCUGUGCCUCCUCCCGUUGUGCACACUCUCCCGCGUGUAGAAGACACCAUUUAUCAUUCCGAGCCAUCUGAGGGUCCGGAUGUAUAUGAGAAAAUGGACGAAAUGAAAGAUCAAUUCCUUGAGCUGCGCAAGGAACUGAAGACUUUGAGAGGUAAGGACCUCUUUGGGAAGAGUGAUGCUAAGUUGUGCUUGGUACCCAACGUUAAAAUCCCGGUUAAAUUCAAAGUGCCUGACUUUGAGAAGUACAAGGGAAAUACAUGUCCACUCAGCCAUCUUGUGAUGUAUGCUCGCAAGAUGUCGACCCAAACCGACAAUGAUCAAUUGCUAAUUCACUACUUUCAGGAUAGCCUGACAGGUGUUGCGCUCCGAUGGUAUAUGAGGCUGGAGAGUGCAAGCAUCCGCACUUUCAACGAUCUUGGAGAGGCAUUUGUGAAGAAGUACAAAUAUAACAUGGACAUGGCUCCAUACAGGGAUCAGUUGAGGGAAAUGUCCCAGAAGGACAAGGAGAUCUUCAAGGAAUACGCCCAGAGGUGGCGAGAAUUGGCAGCCCAGAUAGUGCUACCCUUGGAGGAGAAGGAGAUGACAAAGAUCUUCUUGAAGACUUUGAGCUCUUUCUAUUACGAGUGCAUGAUUGCUAGUGCUCCCUCGGACUUCACCGAAAUGGUGAAUAUGGGGAUGAGGCUAGAAGAGGGGGUCCAUGAAGGACGUUUGUCUCGUGAUGAUGGUUCCUCAACAAAGAAAUAUGGAGGAUUUGCUAGGAAGAAGAAAGGGAAGACUCAUGAUGUUUCUUCCCAAUGUUAAGAGAAGGCCCUCUGUGAGGAGGAAAGAGGUCUGACCGACUGUUAACCAACACCAGGUUGCUCAUAUAGCACCUGCUUUCAGAGAAGUUCAACAACAACCAUAACAACAACAUCGUCAAUAACAACAGGCUUAUCAGCCUCGCAAUAAUAACAACACCAGCACCAACAACUAUAAGAGGAAGAGGGUGAAUUUUGACCCGAUUCCAAUGACGUAUGCUGAACUUUAUCCUUCCUUAAUCGAUAGGAAGCUGAUAACUCCUCGUGAUCCUCCUGCUGUGCCAGCCAAUCCCCAAUGGUGGUACAAGCCCGAACUUCACUGUGUGUAUCAUUCCGGUGCUCCCGGACAUGAUGUGGAGAAUUUUUUUCCUUUGAAGACCAAGGUGCAAGACCUUGUGAGGAGUGGGAUACUGUUCUUUGAGGACGUAAGCCCAAAUGUGAAGAAGAACCCAUUUCCCGAGCAUGGGAAGGCAGUUGUUAAUAUGGUUCAGGGGUGCCCUGGAAAAUAUAAAGUCCUUUAUAUGAAUGACAUAAGGCAAUCCUUGGUUGAGAUGCAUAAGUUGUUGUGUGAACACAGACAUUAUGAGCAUGAUCAUGAUAGGUGUCAGGUGUGCACUAUAAAUGAGAGAGGAUGUCGUCAAGUGAGAAGGGACAUCCAAGAGAUGCUAGAUCAAGGGAUGAUUGAGAUACUUCAUAAUCGUAAUAAGGAUGAAGUCGAUGUUAUUACUCCCAUAUUCAAAAUUCCUGAUCCUGUUGCCAUCAAGUACGAUGGCAGCAAGAAGAAAGUAUCGCCAACUCUUGUGAUCAAGCCAGCAGGUCCUAUCCCGUAUGUAUCAGAUAAAGCGGUCCCCUACCGUUAUAACACUGUUAUGCUAGAAGAUGGGAAGAAGGUGUGUUGCCCUCAACCUCUGUGGUAAGCAUUUCUGACGUUAGUGGAGUGACCCGUAGUGGUCGUGUUUUCUCGACUCAGCCGAAAUCCCACGAAGAUGUUGUGAAGAAAGACGUUGUUGGUCCUGCUGGUCCCAUGGGGACUUCUUCUUUAAAUCGGUCUAUUCCUGUUGUGAAGGGUGUUGACCUUUUUGUUGUUAAAUCCCAGAAUACUCCUAUCCUAGUUGGCCAGUCUGGCAUGUUGAGAGAGGAUGGUGAUGAGAUGUUGAGGCUCAUCAAGAGGAGUGAAUAUAAUGUUGUGGAUCAGUUGCUUCAAACUCCAUCAAAGAUAUAUGUCUUAUCUUUAUUGAUGAAUUCAGAGCCACACCGUGAAGCGUUGCAGAGGGUGUUGGACGUGGCAUGCGUGGAUCACGAUGUCAUAAUUGAGUAGUUUGAUAGCAUUGUUGCAAAUAUAACCGCUUGUAACAAUUUGAGCUUCUAUGAUGAUGAUCUUCCUGAGGAGGGAAAAGACCACAAUUUGGCUUUACAUAUCUCCAUGAACUGUAAAGAUGAUGCCCUAUCCAAUGUGUUGGUGGAUACAGGGUCAUCACUCAAUGUAUUGCCAAAAUCUACUCUUGCCAAACUUUCAUACCAGGGGCCUCCCAUGAGGCUGAGUGGAGUGGCAGUGAAGGCUUUUGAUGGAUCGCAUAAAACUGUGAUUGGUGAAUUAGACCUCCCGAUCAAGAUUGGACCUAGUGAUUUCUAGAUCACUUUUCAGGUUAUGGAUAUACAUCUGUCAUACAGUUGUUUGCUCGGUAGACCAUGGGUUCACGAGGCAGGCUCCAUGACAUCCACCCUGCACCAAAAGUUGAAGUUUGUUAAGAACAAAAAGUUGGUAGUGAUAGGGGGAGAGAAGGCUCUCUUGGUCAGCCAUUUAUCUUCCUUCUCCUAUAUUGAUGUUGAGGAUGAGGUCGGGACUCCGUUCCAAGCCUUAUCUAUUGUUGAGCCUUCUAGGAAAGGACUUUCUUCAUUUGUCUCCUAUAAUGAUGCGAAGUUGUCCAUUGGGCAUGGUGCAACUACUGGUUUGGGGAAAAUGAUCAAGUUGGAAGAUAACAAGUCCCGGGCUGGUAUAGGGUACUCUUUUGGUGUUUAUAAUGAUCUUGGGUUGUUCCAGAGUGGAGGUUUCAUCCACACCAUGGAAGAUCAGGAAGUAGCUGCCAUCGUUGAAGAUAAUGAAGAGGAAGACCUUGGCAACUUUGUCAUACCUGGAGGAAUCUGCAAUAAUUGGGUCGUUGUUGAUAUUCCAACAGUUAUCCAUAAGUCAACAUAAUGUGUUCAUUUUGUUUAAAAACCCUUCUCCCAUGCCAAAAGGAGAAGUGAAGACAUUGUUGGCAUAAUUGAUUAAUACAAUGAUAUUCAUUCAAUAAUCGCAUGUUAAAUGUUUGUUUCUCAAAUUAUUUUUCCUUUUCUUUUUGCAUGAAUUGCGUGAUCACCAUAAAACCCUAAAAAGAAAAAGAAAUAAAAGCAAUCUUUUCAUCUGCAUAAUAAUUGCCUUGUUUGAAUUCUAAAAUCUCUUUUAUACUCAAAAUCAUUAUGCAGGUUGAUCAAACCCAUUGAACAUAAUUGAUCCAACACCAUCUCCCAAAUUUGAGUUCCUGUAUUUGAGGCAGAAGAAGAUGAUGUUGAAGAGAUUCCUGAUGAGAUUACCCGUCUGCUUGAGCACGAGGAGAAGAUCAUUCAGCCACAUCUUGAGAAUCUGGAAACAAUCAACUUGGGGUCUGAAGACUGCAUUCAUGAAGUGAAGAUUGGGGCACUCCUGGAAGAGUCUGUUAAGAAGGGGUUGAUUGAGUUGCUACGAGAAUAUGUCGACGUCUUUGCCUAGUCGUAUGAAGACAUGCCUAGUCUAGAUACUAAUAUUGUGCAACAUUUCUUGUCGUUGAAGCCUGAGUGUGUGCCUGUAAAGCAAAAGCUCAAAAGAACUCAUCCUGAUAUGGCAGUGAAGAUUAAAGAAGAAGUUCAGAAGCAAAUUGAUGCGGGGUUUCUGGUGACUUCUACAUAUCCUCAAUGGAUGGCCAAUAUUGUGCCAGUGCCUAAGAAAGAUGGAAAAGUCCAAAUGUGUGUGGAUUACCAUGACUUGAAUAAGGCUAGUCCAAAAGAUGAUUUCCCUCUACCACACAUUGAUAUGUUAGUAGACAAUACGGCUAAAUUAAAUUUCUUUUCAUUUAUGGACGGAUUUUCCGGUUAUAAUCAGAUUAAAAUGGCACCCGAGGAUAUGGAGAAGACAACAUUCAUCACACCUUGGGGAACAUUCUGUUAUCCAGUGAUGCCCUUCGGUUUGAAGAACGCCGGAGCCACGUAUCAACGUGUUAUGACUACCUUAUUUCAUGAUAUGAUGCACAAAUAUAUUGAGGUGUAUGUUGAUGAUAUGAUUGCAAAGUCGAAAACGGAAGUUGAGCAUGUAGAACACUUGUUGAAGCUAUUCCAGCGUUUGAGGAAGUACAAACUCCGCUUGAAUCCGAACAAGUGUACAUUUGGAGUCCGUUCCGGCAAGUUAUUGGGCUUUCUUGUCAGUGAGAGAGGUAUGGAGGUUGAUCCUACCAAGGUCAAAGAAAUACAAGAGAUGCCUGCGCCCAAAACUGAGAAGCAAGUCCGAGGUUUUCUUGACCGCUUGAAUUACAUUUCGAGAUUUAUAUCCCACAUGACUGCCACAUGUGCGCCUAUAUUUAAGCUCCUCCGGAAAGAUCAGCGUCAUGAUUGGACCGAAGAUUGCCAAAAGGCCUUCGACAGUAUCAAAGAGUAUUUAUCUGAGCCUCCGAUUUUUUUAUCCCCUCCUGUUGAAGGGAGACCAUUGAUUAUGUAUUUGACCGUGCUUGAUGAUUCCAUGGGUUGUGUCCUUGGUCAGCAAGAUGAAUCAGGAAAGAAAGAAUACGCAAUAUACUACUUGAGUAAAAAGUUCACUGACUGUGAGUCUCGGUACUCAAUGCUUGAGAAGAUAUGUUGUGCUUUGGCUUGGGCCGUUAAGCGUUUACGCCAGUAUAUGUUGAAUCAUACUACUUGGUUGAUAUCCAAAAUGGAUUCAAUCAAGUAUAUCUUUGAGAAGCUUGCUUUAACUGGGAGGAUUGUCCGUUGGCAGAUGUUGUUAUCCGAGUAUGAUAUUGAGUAUCAAGCUCAAAAAGCUAUUAAAGGUAGUAUCUUGGAUGACCAUUUGGUGCAUCAACCAAUUGAAGAUUAUCAGUCUGUGCAAUAUAACUUCCCUGAUGAAGAGAUUCUGUAUUUGAAGAUGAAAGAUUGUGAUGAGCCUACACUCGAUGAAGGGCCAGAGCCUGGUUCCCGAUGGGGUAUGGUGUUCGAUGGUGUUGUCAAUCAGUAUGGAAAUGGUAUUGGGGAAGUGAUUAUUACUCCUCAAGGCACACAUUUUCCUUUUACAGCAAGGCUAACUUUCAAAUGCACGAAUAAUAUGGCGAAGUAUGAGGCUUGUAUUAUGGGUUUGGAAGAGUGUAUUGAUCUUAGGAUCAAAUAUCUUGAGAUUUAUGGUGAUUCGACCCUUGUUGUUAAUCAGAUUAAGGGUGAAUGGGAGACGAAUCAGCCUGGCCUCAUCCCAUAUAGAGAUUAUGCGAGGAGGAUUUCAACUUUCUUUACUAAAGUUGACUUUCAUCAUAUUCCUCAUGAUUGCCUGUCAUUAUUGCGAAUGAAGUUUUCCAAAUACUUAUUGUGAGACUAGAUAGACCAACUCACGUGUUUGCAGUGAGGAGUGAAAGAUGAUAAGCCGUGGUAUUAUGUAUCAAGUGUAUCUUCAAAGUCAGAACUUACCCGCUUGGGGCGUUAAAGAUAAGAAGACUUUGAGGAGAUUAUCUGGCAGUUUCUACCUUAAUGGUGAUGUGCUUUAUAAGAGGAAUUUUGACAUGGUUCUGCUCAGAUGCGUGGAUAGACACGAAGCAGACUUGUUGACGACUGAAGUCCAUGAGGGUUCAUUUGGUACUCAUUCCAAUGGACAUGUUAUGGCUAAGAAGAUGUUGAGAGCAGGCUACUAUUGGCUGACAAUGGAGUCUGACUGCUGCAAAUAUGAAGAAAUGACAUAAGUGUCAGAUUUAUGCGAAUAAGAUUCAUGUUCCCCCGACACUUUUGAAUGUUAUUUCCUCACCAUGGCCUUUCUCCAUGUGGGGAAUUGACAUGAUUGGCAUGAUUGAACCUAAGGGGUCGAACGGUCACCGUUUUAUUCUCGUAGCUAUUGAUUACUUCACCAAGUGGGUUGAAGCGGCAUCGUAUGCAAAUGUGACCAGGCAAGUGGUUGUAAAGUUUAUCAAGAACCAACUCAUAUGCCGAUAUGGUGUGCCGGACAAGAUCAUUACUGAUAAUGGGUCUAACUUGAACAAUAAGAUGAUGAAAGAGCUGUGUAGUGAGUUCAAGAUUGCACAUUAUAAUUCUUCUCCCUAUAGACCCAAGAUGAAUGAGGUUGUUGAAGCUGCUAACAAGAAUAUUAAGAAGAUUAUUCAGAAGAUGGUUGUUACAUACAAGGAUUGGCAUGAGAUGCUGCCAUUUUCUUUGCAUGGCUAUCGUACAUUUGUCCGCAGUUCAACAGGGGUAAGCCCUUUCUCUCUGGUUUAUGGCAUGGAGGUUGUGCUCUCCGUAGAGGUUGAGAUGCCAUCAAUGAGGGUCUUGGUGGAAGCCAAGUUGACUAAGGCUGAAAGGGUUCAGAGUCGUUAUGACCAGCUGAAUUUGAUUGAAGAAAAGAGAUUAACUGCCAUGUGCCAUGGUCAGUUGUAUCAACAAAGGAUGAAGAAAGCCUUUGAUAAAAAGGUCAAGCCUCGUGUGUUCCGAGAAGGUGACCUCGUGCUCAAGAAAGUCUUGUCUUUCGCGCCCGAUUCUAAGGGAAAGUGGACUCCAAACUAUGAAGGUCCAUAUGUUGUUAAGAGAGCCUUUUCAGGCGAUGCUUUAUUGCUUACAACUAUGGAUGGGGAGGAUUUCACUCGUCCUGUGAAUUCAGAUGUAGUCAAGAAAUACUUCGCCUAAAAAAUAAAAACAGAAUAACUCGCUAAGUUGAAAACCCGAAAGGGCAGCUUAGGCAAAAAUGAGCGUCUCGGUGGAUUGAAAACCCGAAAGGGAGGUCCAGGCAAAAGUUAGAGACAUAAAAAAAAAUGAAUAUAUAUCCCGCUAGAUUGAGUACCUCACCCUGGGGCAAUCUAGGCAAAAAUUAGGGAUUUGGCGAGUAACUGCAUCCUGACAAGACUUUGUUCUACAGCUGUCAUCUAUCAAAGAUUCUCACCCAGUCAUCAUCAACUGAAGUUUCGAAUACAGUGGAUUCAGAGUUGGUGGAGAAAUGGUCAUUAUGUUCAAUGUAGCCCUUUUUCCAUGUAUAUCACCAAUUUCAAAUUUGUAAAGAUUCAUGGACUCUCGCCAUUUGCGUACUACCAUUCUAUUAAAUAAAUUUGAGCCUUUAUCCAAUUCUUUGCACUUUUAUUUGUUUCUGUUUAACAAAUGUUUGCAUGUUUUAAUUGACGGAUAUCAUUGUUUUAAACAAAUAAAGUUUUCAUAAAUAAACUGUUUUAAACAAAGUGAACAUUCACAAGGACUGGAAAGAUGAGUGGAAUGUCCUCAGUGCUUUCCCAAGGAUGGUAUGAUUACCAAAGGGUAAAACAUUUGUUCAUAUUCUGGCAUUUUUUAUAUAUAUCCUCUUCAUCAGCUUUCAGUGGUCUCCCCAACGAGCAUGGAAAGAAUGAUACAGCUUCCCGGAGAGUCUGAUAUGAGAAGUCCUCCUUGAUGGCAGUAGCUAGAUCGGUCUUAUGGAUUGUUUUUCUCCUAGUAGAAUUUGUGGACGUUCAUCCAACGCAUUCCUGGAUAGUUUUUUUGUGCGUACAUACUUGUUUCCCCCGUGGAGUCUUAGCAAUCCAUGAUUGGUUAUAUGGUGGAUCCGUGGAUGAUCCCUUAUGUUCCAGUUCUUGCCUUAGAGACGUGUAUCCCUCUAUAUCAGGCACUAGCAUUUGCGUUUUAUCAAUUAUAUGGUUGUCAUCCUUUGUGUGGACUGACCUAAAAUCCCUUAUAGAUUGAUAAAAGUUGAUAUGCUAUUCUACUCACGAGGAGGUUUGCUUUCCCCAACAUGAGUAGAAGUCCCCAAUGAAGUAAACAUGUGUUCCUUGUGGAGCUCUUUCCAGAUAAUUGUCUCCUCAGCAGGAAGUUGCCUAGAGCAAUGGGUGAAGGGCUUGUAUUCCUUUUCAUCCCUAGCAUGUCGCUUGUUGACAGAGGAUUCAUUUCCAAUUUCCUCAGCCAGGGUAGUUCCGUCGAGAACAUUUGCAGCUUGUCCCUAGUAGGGUUUCCUGAUCCGAGCUUGAUGUUGGCAUCUUCUCCGGGUCUGAAGAUUUCUUCUAGCAUUGAGAGCUGGUGUUGAAGAUGUUUAUUUCUUUCCCCAGUGGAGCAAAGUGUUAUUUCUCCCCUUAGCAGAAUUUCCUCUCCGGCAGUUAGAAGGGAGUAUUUUGAUUGAUGUGCAUCUAGUUGGUGGUUGUUUCCCCCACUGAGUUUCAUAUCCUUCCUUGAUAAGCUUCCCCAGUAGAGUUUCUUCUCCGGCGGAUCUUAUUGUUAUUCAACCACCUGUCCCCGAGAGAGUGGAUGGAAACUCCCCGGCAGAUCUUUUGCAUCUUCCUUAUGUCAGGAUUGUUUGCCCCUGGGAGACUUAUCUUGUGCAGAGUGUUACCUCUUGCAGUUGGAAGCUUUGACUUUGCCUAUUCCCAGCUUUGGUUAAAGUCUCCUCUUUUUCCCGAGAUCAUCCCCACCAGAGUUGAGUUCUCCAGUAGGUUUUUCCCUUCUUGUUGAGAUGUUAUAUCGGGUGUCUGAUCGUGAAUCUUAGACUUGUUUGUGUUAGAUAUGUCUGUUUGUCAGCAUUAACCAUACACAAAUCAUGCAUAUACAUGUAUAAUCAUAGCAUUCAGAUAACCAUGUUGCAUUCUUUUCCAUAUAUCUUUGUUCGUUAUCUCCUGCUAUUGGUGAAAUGUUCUUCCCCAAGCAGAUGUUUGUGUCUGAUAUCUCCAUAUAGAGUCAUCCCCAUAGGCAGAAAGUGUCUAUCUUUCCUUCUUUCUUCCUCACUGAGUUAUGUCCUCGUGGAUGAUUCUUAUUUCAGUUUCCUCCCCAAGUGUGUAUUGGGAUGGGAAUUACUCCCCUGAGUUAUAUCCUCAUCAGGUUAAGUCUUGUUUGAUUAUGUCUUUCUAGUUUGUUCCUAGAUUGAUUCUUUUCUUGUUAUCCCAUGCAGUUCCCUGUGGUGCAGUUGUUCAAUUGCUCAGUAACCAGUAAUUGUUCAUUCUUUCCUCAGUGGAUCUUGUGGCCUUCUACCCAGUAACCGGUAGUUGUAAGUCCUACUUCUGUGGUUUUCUACCCAGUAACCGGUAGAUGUAAUCCCCUCUUUGUUGGUUAUCUUUACCCAGUAACCGGUAUUGAUAUUCCUUCGUUUUGAGUAUACCACCCAGUAACCGGUGAUAUAUCUCUUGAUCUGUGGUUUUCUACCCAGUAACCGGUAGAUGUAAUCCCCUCUUUGUUGGUUAUCUUUACCCAGUAACCGGUAUUGAUAUUCCUUCGUUUUGAGUAUACCACCCAGUAACCGGUGAUAUAUCUCUUGAGUAUUGGCUUUUGUCAGGCAGUUUAUCCCUUGCGAGUCAUCUUUCAUUUACCCUUGUUUGGUAAUGAUUGUUUCUCCAUCCUUUUGGUCAUCAUUUUAUACCCAGUAACCAGUAUCCCGGUGUCCUUUCUUUUUCGGUCGAUUUAUCCUUUAUUAACCCAAUAACCGGUUGUGGAUAAUCUUCCAUGCGAGUAUGUUAUCUAUGUUAUGACGGUAAUAGAUAAUAUAUCUCAUGCGCUCUUCAGUCGAACUCUUUUCUUCCUCAGUCGAGUAAGAUUCGUAUUUCCUUGUGGAAUCGAAUGUCCAUCCUGUAAGUCGAGUUUGUUUUUUCAGCCCUCCUUUCGGAUGAUGAGUGUCUUGGAUAUGUUCCCAAUUCACGCCUGGUUGGUCACCUAUUAUAUACCCAGUAACCGGUAUCCCUGGUGUUCCUUCCUUCUGCUCCCUAUUAUGACAGAUGAGUGUCUUGGAUAUGUUCCCAAUUCACGCCUGGUUGGUCACCUAUUAUAUACCCAGUAACCGGUAUCCCUGGUGUUCCUUCCUUCUGCUCCCUAUUAUGACUUUUGUCCCCUGUGGAGUCAGAAUUUCCUGAGUUGAGAUGUGCCUUUUUGGUCCUUCUCAUAUGUUUCAGAUGAUUGAUAUCUCUCACCCUUAUACCGGUCUUAGAUAUUCUUUCUCCCUGAGCGUGUUGUUCUCUCACCCAGUAGCCGGUGUUUUGAUGACAUGUCUCUCUUUGAGCUUAUUACCCAGUAACCGGUAAUAUCUCGUCUUUUCUUCCUCAGCUGUGUCCUUUAUGGACAUCCCCGUCUGAGUCUGGAUUUUUAUCCGAUGUAUCCUUUAUGGAUAGUUUUGCUAUAUUGGCAUAUUCCCCAAUACAUGCAUCUUUGCGUCAGCUCGAGUCUUUCCAUCGAUUUAUUUUCAUGGAAUCCUUUCGUGUCUCCCAGCAAGUUUUCAAGUCGUGACCUACUCACGCAUUUUACCUUAUUUCCCCCCCAGAGUCUCUGUCUCCCUAGUGAGUGUGUUACUCCUAUGGAUUUUUUCAGUUUCUCCGGAUUUCUUUUCCUUUGUGGCAAUUAUUCACCAUGAAGAUUUUUAUUUUGCAUCAUGAGGUCUCUUAGGGACCAAAAUUCGUCUCUUUGUUAUUAUUUAAGCUCAUUCAAUCUCGUCUAGACGAAGAUUUUAACCUUCAUAUCUCCGGCUAGAAUGAUCUUAAAUAGGGGCAUCUGUAAGACCCUAAUUUUGACCCUAAGAUCCCUCACGGCAUCAUGUUAUUGCACAAGUGCAUUGCCUCAAGGAUCAUAGCAUGUUUGGCUCCUUAACCCUAAGGGUGGGACUUGUUUGAGUGUUUUGAAACCACCAAGCAUGCUUGUAUUAUAUAUUAUUGCUUUUCUUAUUUGAUUACCAACAAAAAGCACAAAAAUAUGUCACUAACUCUUUUUGUUUUGAAGCUCAAGUGAUCAUGUGUUCCAAUGCUCCUAGGAGGCUCUUAAGCCCAAUGAAAUGGCCAGAUGAAAAUGAGGAAAAGCAUGAAAAUGGUCCCCAAAGCUCCUAAUCAUCAUAUAUGCCUCCCAAGUAUCUCAAUUUUCCAAUUUGAUCAAGAUAACCCAAAGGGCUUGAGGAUUGUUUCCCAAGGAAACCUUAAUUUCACUAUGCUUUGACCGUGCCUUGCCCAUGAAGCAAUCUCAACCUAUGAUCAAAUUUAAUCAAGGUAAAUUCUUUCUUUAAUCAUUUUAUGCAUAUAUGAGCAUAUUGGAGGCCCCUCAAUCAUUUAUUCAUCAAGAUUGGAAGUUUGGCCUUGAAAAGUUGAUCAGUCAAACUCAUCUGACUAAACUGAGGUCUAUUGAGAUACAACUUUUGAUGUAUUUGUCAAAUGAAGAUUAACCCAAGAUAAAAAAUGUUCUUAAGAACCAUAUUAACAACUUUAAUGUUCAUCAAAAAUCCAUUUGAAACUUGGAAGGUCAUCAUUCAUUUCAAAACAUUAUAGGUCAUUUUGACUGAAACCCUAACUUUGGGUCAACUUACCAAGGGAAUAACUUCCUUAAUUUUUAUGAUUUUGAGGUGAGACCAAAUUAAUUGGAAAUCUUGAGAUGUCUACUUCAAAUGUUAUGUUGGACAAAAUUUCAUAAUCCUAAAAUAAAUACAUGUGAUAAUAUAAAACAUUAUAGGUCAUAUUGGACCUAAUUCAUUGAAUUUGAAAAAGUACCCAACUUCAAAUGCCCAUAAAUUUGUCAUAGCAAAUCCAAAUGAUGAAAACUUUGAUUCCAAAUUUAUAAUCUUGAAAAGAUAUACAACUUUUAUGUUGUAGGUUUUUCCAUUUGAAGCUUGCAUUAUGAUAAUAGAGGGGUUUGAUUAGGCUUGCUUUUGGUGAAUAUUUUCAAAUGUGACUUAAACAUGUUUUGUACUUGGAUUUUCUAGACCAAUUUUCAUUAAUUUCCAAAUGCCAAAUGAAUUUUUUCCCAACAUGACUUUUGUUCCUUAUUUCAAGGGCUUUCCAACCAUUACUCACAAUGCUCAUUUGGACUUACCAUUUGGGAUUUUCGAAGACCUUUCCAUUUAUGUGCAUUUUGGUAUUUCAUGUUAUAACUUGGUAUGCAAGCUGAUUCCAUUUCAAAUGCACGUAUUACUCACAAUGCUCAUUUGGACUUACCAUUUGGGAUUUUCGAAGACCUUUCCAUUUAUGUGCAUUUUGGUAUUUCAUGUUAUAACUUGGUAUGCAAGCUGAUUCCAUUUCAAAUGCACGUCCAAAUCAUUUACAUGUGAUUCUAGAAAGAUAUUUCAUCCACCAUUGGGCCUGCUACACGCUUGCACCGGCCCAUGCAAGCAAAUUUCAAAUGCCAUGCACAUGAAAGAAGCGUGGGAUUCAGCUACCUUGAGCUAUAAAUAAAGGUUCCCUCUCAUUCAUUUGGCAACCUUUUGGAGAUCUGAAUUGCUGUAGCAUUGAAACCAUAGCCAUACCAAAGGAAUUUGAUCAAAAUUUAUCUCACUUUCGAGCUUGAAAUUCAGCAUCAUUAGCUGAUCUUCAAAGCUUUAUUCCUUAACCUUUCACUUCCACUGCAUCCCUAGAGCAAAGAGGAAUCAAGAUCUUGAAGAAAUCGUGGCCUUAAGUGCUUCAAUUCAGAGGUAUACAUUCAAACUUUUGGAUCUAGAACUCUCAUUUCAUGUAGCAUUCUUGUGUUUGUGUGGUUUUCUAAAGUCCUCAUACUUGAGGCAAGCUUGUGAUGCUUUCAAUUUUCCAUUUCAUGAACUUUCAGUUUGAACACCAUGAUCUUCCACUUCAUAUUUCUCUCAAUAUAGGAAGAGUGAGGAAGAUCCAUGGAUACAAUGGUGAUCUCCAUCACACGAGCUUCAUUUCCAUGGCUUUGUUUUUUAUUUUUAUUAAAUUUCAUUUUCCUGCAACUGGUGGCCGGAGGUUGUUGUUCCACCGGAGAAGAUGGUGGUUUCCACCACCAUCACCACGUGUGCACCUUCACAGCCCUUGGAUUUGGUUUUCACGUUUUAAUCGUGUGCAUCCAUUGUAUUUACUUCAUUUAAUACCUUAUAUGGCGCGUAUCACUUGGAUGUAGCGUGUUCUCCAUGAUCUGAACCAUUCAGCCUUGCCACGUCAAUUGAUGAAUCCAUCCUAUGGCGCUGGUUUUUUCCAUUAUUUCUAUUUUCAUUUUAUUUUGAGUUAAUUCCAUUUAUUUUCAAAAAUUCAUAAAAAAUUCAUUUGAAGUCAUAAGAAUAUGAGACCGAUUCCAAAAAAUUUCUUGAAAAAUCUAGUUUCAUAUUUUGAUUUUUAAUUAUUUUUGUGACUUCAUUUGAUAUUUUUCAUGAAUUAUUUGAUUUUUAAUAGUUUUAAUUCAUUUUAAAAUACUUUCUGGCUUUUGAAAAAUCCAAAAAUAUUUUCGUAGCAUUUAUGGAUCAUGAAAAAUAGUCUCAUCAAUUUCUUAUUUGAUUUGAGAUUUAUUUGAGAUUUUAGUCUAUUUUAUGCUAUUUUUAGUUGUUUUUAAUUGUUUUUAAAUACUUUCUGGUUUCAAAAAUUUGUGAGAAAAUUAGUCAAAGUUUGUUUGACCAUGUUGGACCUAUGAGAAUUUAAUUGGACUUGUUGAAGUUGAUUUGAAUUGAAUUUGAGGUUUGACCUUAUUUGUUUAUUUUUUAUUUGCAUUUUAUUUUAAUUCAAAAAAUACCAAAAAAAUAUUGUUGACUAACUUGUUGAAGUUGAUUUGAAUUGAAUUUGAGGUUUGACCUUAUUUGUUUAUUUUUUAUUUGCAUUUUAUUUUAAUUCAAAAAAUACCAAAAAAAUAUUGUUGACUUGUAAUCUUCAUUUCUUUUCUAUUUGGUGUUGAUUGAUGUUGGUUUGAUCCACAUUUGAUCAAUUGGAAUUGAUUGAUGUAUUCUUUUCCCCUCCCUUUCAUCUUCAUCCCAUUAUUUCCAUCAAUGGCCAAUGAGUUAAGUUCUUAUGGUUGGUCUUGACAAAUGAGAGGUUUAACCUUCUUUGAUCCAAACCAAACUCAACUUGAUCCAUGAUUAAGUGAGUUGUUUUGUGUCCAAGAUAGGUUGCCUCUUGGUCAAGCAAAUAACCUAAAGAAAAUACAAGGCACUUCCCAUUUUGUUUUGGCAUGGAAAGUUUAUGGAGCUUGGCUUACUAGUCAUGAUCUCUAACUUGUGUUCUUUGCCUAUAUUUUUAUUGACCGGCCUCAGAUAGGUGAUCUGAGCAACUAUGCCUAAAGGAGUUCAAGAGCAACUAUGCCUCAUGCUUAUGGAGCUUGGCUUACCUAUGCUUAAAUGAGAUCAAGAGCAACUAUGACUCAUGCCUUUAGAGUGCUAAAUUGGUUGAAAAGCAACUAGGCAUCAUGCCUUUAGAAUGCUAAAAUUCCAAGUUGAUCUCAAAAGGACUUCUCUUCAAAACUUAUUCUUUGUCCAUUCCCCUUAUUGUGUUGUGAACUUUUUGAUGUUUGUUUGUGUGUGAUAGGGAUCCCACUUUGAGAUUGUGAAAAGAGGACCAUUGUCAUGAGUAACCAAGUUAAGAGACAAGUCAAAUGGAGAUCCUAUGAGCUUGAAUGCGAAUUAUUGAUUGCUUGUUUAUGUGUUAAGUCCAAAGGAAAUGAGCAUCUUGAAUCAUCUCUAUGAUUCCAAGAAAAGGAACUCCAAGGGUUUAUCUUUCCCUCUCUUAUCUUUGUAUGCUUUAGGACUAGCCCUUCUCUUCUUCUCCCCACUCUAACCAAGCCAAAAUCUUUUUCUUCAAACUUUGACUUUGUUUCAAAUUAGAAACCUAGGCCUUAAGCCUUUGACUACUAACCAAGCCAAAAUCUUUUUCUUCAAACUUUGACUUUGUUUCAAAUUAGAAACCUAGGCCUUAAGCCUUUGACUUUUCAAAACCAUUUUCAUCAAUACUCAUUGUGAAUAAAUCUUAAUCCAACUAUGACUUCAUUUUGUAAAUAAAUCUAACUUGUAAAUAUAACCCAUUUCAAGUUGUUUUGUGGUUCCAAUGGCCACUUGUUAAAACUUUUCAUAAACAUUAGUCAUAGGUUUGAGUUAUCAUAGUGGUUAAUGUAAAUCUCACCUCAUCCUUAGUGAUUGGAUUAUAAGUCUUCCAUGCUUAUUAUAGGGUUAACCACUCACUAGCAUGUUGAAGCCUUCCUCACAUGGUGGAUUGUUGGUUUAGGUUUAGUUUUCUCCCUUUGAUAACAAAAGACCUUAAGGCUUUUGAUCAAAUCAAUUCACCAAUCUUUGAGAUUUUUACCCCGAACUACGAGAUUUUGAUCCUCCUUUGUGAUGGUACGUAGGCAAUGGAUUCAUACAUUCAAACAACAAAUUUGUAAAUAUAAUCUAUUCUCUUCUCACCCCCCCAAUCUUUUGGUACAAAUAUUUUCACAAAUACCAACCUACAACACAUAUUUGCAAAAAGGGUUCCCUUAGAAUACUAAGGAUGUUUUGGGUGCGUAAAACCUUCUCAUUUCAUAACCAACCCCCUUACCCAGAUCUCUGACAUUUUUAUUAGUUUUUGAUUUGAUUUUGAAGAAUGGAACCGAAAACAAGCGAAAAAUCCCUUUCCUUUGGACAAAUAAAAGUGCGGUGGCGACUCGAAUUGUAUGUUUACUUUUGGUUUAGUCAAUAAACCUAAAGGUAACAAAAACCCCACUACAAUAUUCAAUGUAGCCCCUUUUCCAUGUAAAUUACCAUUUUUUAACUUUUGUAAAAGAUCUAUGGGGUCUUGUCAUUUACAGACUACCAUCCUAUUAAAUAAAGUUGAGCUUUUUAUCCAAUUGUUUCUACUCUUAUUUAUUUCAGCUAAAUAGAUUUAAAAUUUUAUGAUGAUUAUAUUGAAAUUGAAUUUAAAUCAUGUUUUCUUAAAAUAAUAAAAGCAGUUACUUUUUAAAUCGAUUUCAUUUAAGGCAUAUCAAUAGUGGUCUGAGAGCAGUAGGCCCUAAAUGAGAAGCAUUAUUGGUUUUCCCCAAGCAAUUGGAGUGAGCUUUGUUUCCUCUCCAGCAGUGUUUCAGCAUCGCCAACCGAGUUUUGUUGGUAUCCCCAGCUGAGUUUGUGAAUGCAUCCCUCGAGUUGUAGGCACGUUGUCUCAGCAAAUCAUUGUUUCCCUCAAGUCUCCAAUGGAUUCCAUUCAGCAUGGAUUCUAGAGCAGUUAUCUGAUCCUCUGUAAGGUUGUCUCCCCGUUUGAUAUGGUGUUGACCUAAAAUUCCCCGCAGAGUUGAUAGUGCAGAUUUUCGGCAGAUCUUUUCCUUUUCCCCAGCCAAGGUUGAGCCUUUGAGAUAGAUGAUCUGCGUUCAUCCUUUACCUCUCUUUCUCCAAUUGGUUACCUCCUGUGAGGAUGGGCUGAGUGUUGUAUUGGUGAUGCAGACCAGUGACAUUUGUAUCCUUUGCGAUCGUUUUGUCGGCAUAAUCAUCAUAUAUACAUAUACAUAUACAUUCAUAAAUUUCAUUAUUGCAUUAUUAUUUGCACUUUGUGAUUCAUUAUUUCUCUUAUCCUCUGUUGUGGUGGUAUCCUUUCCCCCACGCAGAUUUGGUGUGUCUGUCCUCUUUCAAUUGUAGAGUGUCAGCCCCUUAAGCGGAAAUAAUUUUACCUUUCUCAUUCCCCACUGAGUUAUUUCCUCGUGGAUAAUUAUUUCAGCUUCCUCCCCAGUUGAUUAUCUGGAUGGAACCACUCCCCCUGAGUUAUAUCCUUAUCGGGUUGAGUCCUUGAUUAACCUUUUCUUUCUAGAUCUUACCUAAAUAGAUGCUUUUGGUCCCCUGAGAGUCUAUUACCCAAUAGUGGGUAAUACUCUUCUCGAUUUGUGAGUACUUUACUUUUUCCCAAUACCCGGUAAAAGUAAUAUAUUUCCUCUUUCUCCCAGCAGAUUCGUUUUCAUGUUUCUCCAGGAAGUCUAUCCUUGAUAUGUUCAUCCUAACCGAUGACAGAUAUUUUCUUCCCCUGCUUCGAGUCUAUCCUUGAUAUGUUCAUCCUGAUCGGUGACGAAUAUUCUCUCCUUGUGGUAUUCUACCCAGUAAAACGGUAGUUGUAAUCCCUAUUUCUUUCCCCAGAGGGUUAACCCUUGAUAUGUUCAUCCCAAUUAAUUACGGGUUUUCUCCUCUUUGUGGUCUUCUGCCCAGUAACUGGUAGUUAUAAAUCCUGUUUCCCCUUGCGGAGUCUAUCCUUGAUAUGUUCACUUUAACCAGUGAUGGAUAUUCUCUUCUUUGGUAUUCUAUCCAAUAACAGAUAGAUUUGAUUUCUGUUUCUCCCCUCUGAGUUUAUCCUUGAUAUGUUUACCCUAACCGGUAAUGGAUAUUCUUCCUAAUUCCUCAGGUGUUUUAUCCUUGAUAUGUUCAUCUUAAUCGAUGACGGAUAUUCUUCCUUUGAUUUUAUCCUUGAUAUGUUCACUUUAAUCAGUGACAGAUAUUCUCUCUUUUUGGUCUUCUGCCCAGUGACCGGUAGUUGUAAAUCCUAUUUUGGCUUUUCCCCAGCUGGUUAUUCUUACCCAGUGACUGGUAAUGAAUAUACCUCCGAGAUGCCCUCAGCGAGUCAUCCUUGAUAUGCUUACACUAACCGGUAACAGAUGUCCUCCCUUCCAGAUUUGUUAUUACCUUAUCCAGAAACCGAUAGUGGAUAAUACAUUUAUGUUACUCCUGUGUUGAAGAUCAUUUCUUCCCCGGUUGAGUUUGAGUGCGUAUUUCCUCAGUGAGAUCGUUGUUUCCUGCUUGGGUUGAGUAUUUCAACUUUGUUCUGAUCUACCUGUUUCCCCUGCAAAUGUUCCUUUUAUUCCCCGACUGAGUCUUUCCAUUGAUUUGUUUUCAUGGAAUCCCUCGUGUCCCCCUAGCAGUUUUAAGUCGUAGCCUGGCCUACGCGUAACUUUUAUCCCCUAGAGUCUCUGUCUCCCCAGUGAGUUUUCCUUAUGGAAUGCAUUAUGCUCUUGCGGACUUUCAGUCUCUCCAGAUUCUUUUCCCUUGUGACAAAGUUUUCCCCACAAGAUUAUUUUUAGCAUUCAUAUCAUAUGCAUCACAAGGUCUCUUAGGGACCAAAAUUUGUUUCUAUAUGUUGUUAUUUAAGUCCAUUCUACUGAGUCAAUACGAAUAUUUAACCUUCAUCUCCUCAGUUAGAACGUCCUUAAAUAGGGGCAGCUAUAAGACCCCAAUUUUGACCCUAAGAUCCCUCAUGUUAUCUCAUCGUAUGCAUUAGCAUUGAGAUCACACCUUGGCAUCCUCCUUACCCCUCUUUCAUUGGGGUUGCAUUGGGAGAGAUCACCAAGCAUAUUUGAUUGUAUCAUGCUUCAUUUUUCUUUAUUUACUAACCAAAAUACCAAAAAUAUGUCAUUGUAUAGUUUAACUCUUUUGUAGGUAGUGCACAGGCCCACCUAUGCUCUAUCAAGCUCAUAUAUAGGAUUUGAGACCCUCAAUACAAGGAGCUCAAUCAAGAAAUGAUUUACUGUGGCUCUAAGUAUCAUAUAUGGGUCCCCAUGAUCUUCAUAUGUUAUUUUGAUCAAGAGAUCAUCAAGAGUUGGGAAUUGAUUUGCCUUGGAAACCCUAAUUCAUCUAGGUAUCUUGUGUGACUUCUUCAACAAGUUUCCUUAAUAAUUGAUCAAAUAUUUAAAGUUACACUUCAAAUUACACCAUCUUAUGCAUAUAUGAUCCUCCAUGAGUCUCAAAGAUCAAUAAAACUUCAAGUUUGCAAGUUGGUUUAAGGUGGUUGACCAGUGAAAGUCAACUAGCCAAAACUGGGGUUCCCUAUAUCCUACAAUUUUUGUCAUAUGAAAAUGAUUCCAAGAUUAAAGUUACUCUAAAUGACAUUCCAAAAAACUUUCAUGUUGAGUUCUAGAGAAAAUUUUGCUUGGAAAGUCAUUUUUUAUGGUGAAAGAUUAUAGGUCAUUUUGUCUAAACCCUAGCUUGGAGGUCAACUUCCCAAGGCCAUAAAUUGCUCAUUUUUUAUGAGAUGAAAGCCAUUCAAAUUUCAUGAUCAAAUUCAAGAGGUCUACUUAAAAUUUUAUGUUUGGAGGAAGUGCAAAUUCAACUUGCAAAUUCAUGUGCCAAGAGGAAACAUUAUAGGUCAUUUUGGACCAUUACCAUUGAACAAGUGAUUUUCCUCAACUUCUAAAAUGCAUAACUCCUUCAUGCCAAAUCAAAAUAAGGUCAUAUUUGUGACCAAAUUGAAUAGGUUUCAAAUAUAUACAACUUUUAUGAAGGAACUGUUCUCAUUUGAAGCCCAUAGAAAAAGAUAUUUAAGGUGGAAGAAGUGAACAUUUGACUUGGGACUUAGAAACUUUUCAAAUAUGUUUGAUUUCCCAAACUUCCACCUCAAAAUUAAUCAUGAUCCAAGCUUCAAAUGAAAAAGUAUUCAACAUGAAAGUUGUUCCCCUUGAUCUCACCUUUCCAAAACAUCCAAGAUCAUCUCAUUUGGACUAAAAUUGAAGGACUUGCGCAUGGUUUCAUUAUGGGAAGUGUUUUGGCAAGAUUGAACUUCACAUGAUCAUUUUCAUUUGCAUGCUUACACAUGAUGGUUUCAGCAGACUUUGUACAUGAUUUGGAGUUGGAUUGCAUCACUCUUGAGGCCCAAAUGAUUGCCCAUGCACCCAUGCAAGUUAAUUACUAUUUUUUUCCAAUUUUUAAGUGGUGUAAAUAUCAAACACAUUGUCUAUUUAAACAAGCUUAAGGCUUCAGAUUCAUGAUCAACACCUUGCCCAAGCAUUGCUAGACCUCUGCAAACCCUCACUACCAUAGAAUUUUUUGAGAUUUCUCUUGAAAUCGAGCUUGAACUUCACCUUCUGUUUGGAAGUUCAAACUCUAGAAAUUCACUUCCAUUUUCAGUUCAUUUGGUUUCUGCAAGCAAGAGGAGGAGAAAGCAAUCAAAUCUAGAUCAAGAUCAAGUCAAAUUGGAUCAACUCGAAGGUGAAUUUUCAGAAACUUCCACUCUUUGAUUCUCUCUUAUUUCUCCACUAUUCUUGUUGAUUUUUGGUUAUCUGAAGUCCUACCAAUGUAGGCAACAAGAUUGAGUUGCUUUGAGGUUAAAUCGAAGCAACUUAGUUCAUGAUCCUCAAAAUUCAACUCCAUGUAUCUUCUCAUAUACUUGGAGUUAGACAAAAUUGAGGCCAGAUUCGAGCUCCUGAGCAUUUUUUCUUUAAAUCCAUGUCUUGCUUUUUUAUUUUGGUGAUGGUUGAAGGUGGACCAGUCCGGUGAGGUCCACCGAAGAAGAAGAUCAGAGCUCUGGCUCCGGUGAUAUGUUGGCAAGCUUCUCAACCAUAGGAUCCAUUUAAAUUAUUUUAAUCUUAGGCGUUGAUUGUGAUUACCACGUGUGCUGCUCAGUUAACUAAAGAACACAUGGAACAUGCCUUUGAACCAUCUGAUCUUCCACCUCAAUUAAUGAGGGAGAUCAGAUGGUCCACAUAUUUUUGAAUUCCUGAAUUUUCAUUUUUAUUGCUUUAUUUUCAUUAAUUCAUAUUAAUUUCAUUAUUGAUCCAAAAAAUAUGGGACUUUCACCAAAAAAAUUCAAAUAUUUUCCUCUUUCAUUUUAUGAAUUAAAAUUAUUUUUUAGAUCAAUAUUGAUAUUUUUCAUGAUUUAAUUGUUUUUGUGCAUAUUUUAAAUUGUUUAAAAAUACUUUGGACUUUUUAAAAAUAGUGAAAUUUUUUCUCCAAUGUCCUUUGACCUUGUUUGACCUAUGAUAAAUCUCUUGGCCAUUUAUUUGGUGUUUUGAAUAGGUUUUAGGUUUUUGGUAAAACAUAAUUUAAUUUAAUGCAUUUUUAAUUUGUUUAAUUGAAAUAAUUUGUGUUGAGCCAUUUUUAUUGACUUAUGGAGUUUGACUAUUGUGUUUGGGCCUUGGUCAAGGUUGAUUUGACUUUUGUUGGAUUAAAAUCAUUGGAUUUAAGGGAUUGAUGAAAUAUACAUUUCAUCUCCCAAAAUGAAUGAAUGAUUUUAAUUUGAUGAAAUUCCUCCCAUGACCAAUUUGUGUUUGUCUCCUUUCCCCUCCCUCUUCAUAUUCAAUCCCUAUUUAUCUCACUCCUCUCAUUGGUCAAUUACAUCUCAAUAUCCUAAGGCUAAUCGGUUCAUGAACCAAUACAAGUAUGGAUGAGAUUAGGUCCAUCCUUUGAUCAUUUUCUUUUUGUGUGUGGUAUGUUUUAGGAGUAUGGUUCAUCAUGUCAUAUCUCUAACAUGCAUUAACACCAAAAAAUUUAGUGUCCGACCUCAGAUAGUUGUGACUUCUACAUAAGUCAAAUUACGAUUGCUUAACAUAUCGCUAAAUUUUGACACAAAAUGCAUAGCAUUCUAGUAAGUGAAAUUGUAAGUCUCCCCUUUUUCAUGGUAUUGUGUGGAAACUUGGCCUUUUUUCCUUCCUUUGGAAGAUGUCCUGGUUCAAGGAUCCAUGCUUGUGAGUAGAGGGUUGAGUAUUCUCCAAAGAAUGACUUAAAAAGUUGAAAAGAAAAACUCCACUAACAUCUAAUCAACUAACCUUUGACUAGAGGGUUGAGUGUUCUCCAUAAUUGAUUUAAAUUUCAAGUCAUUUACUUUAUGCCAUUUAAAUUCAAGUCAUUUACCAUUUGCCAUUAUACAUAUCAUUUAACUUGUUUAUUUUAAUGUAAUUUUCCCUUUGCUCACUUGAGCCAUAUAUUGUGAUUGUAUAUAUUUGUUUGUAUUAUUUUGGUUGAGCUUGUGGUCUUAGGACCUUAAAAUACUUAAUAAACAACAAAAACCCUAAAAAAUAUUUGUGUGGACUGUUGGAUUUGAUAUGAGCUUUGGACUUAGAAUUAGGCAACAUUUCCUAUGCAAAAGGACUUGGCCAAUGCCAACAUUUUUGAAACCAAGUCAUUGUGACGUUGAGCUUUCAUCUGAUACAAGUAUUGGGAUCCACAUGAGUUCAUCAGCUACAUGGUCUUGAUGCAGGUGUUACUUUGAACCUGUGUCUAAUGCCUUAUUCUGAGCCAUUCAUGGAGUAUGUCAUCUGAUACAUGGGGAAGAUUAUGAAGAAGAUUAUGAAGUUGCUAGCUUGGAUGUGGAUAUCUUUAUUUGAUGCCUUGCUCUUCAUCUUGCUAUUUGUGUAUUGAUAUUUCUUGAUCCUAAAGUCCAAGGGAAAAAUGGGUUUCUAUAUGACAUUCUUGUCUAUUGGAUUGUAUCCCAUUGGUCAAAUAUUUUCAACUCUUAACUUUUAAAUUUUUGCUUAGGAUUAGCCUCUUCAUUUCCUCUCACUUCUUAAAUUUCAAAUUUCUCCCUCUUUUCAAAAACCUUCUUUGCUUGUGAUUUCUAAACUUAGACUUUAUUCCAAAUUAGAAACUUUGACCUUAUGUCAUUGCAUUUUUAAACUCUUUUCUUAAAUCAAACUUGUGAAUAAAUCUAAUCAUAUUGACUUAAAGUUUCAAAAGACAAAAAGAACUAACACUCAUUCAAACUCUUUUAGGCCCUUUGUGCCUCCUUUAAACUUAAAUUUUUGUUAAAAGCAAUUCACUCACUUUAAAAUUGAUACCAUGAACUACGAGGUUUUGAUCCCUCAUUUUUAUGUUGGUACAUAGGCAUAAGUCCGGAGGUCUUGUCAAACACAAAAAUAUAAUCAAUGAAUUCUUUUCUCAUCCCCACACUCUAUUUAUUGCAAGCAUCAUUUUAUACCAAAAAUACAUACACACAUAAAAAAGGGCUCUCUAGGAGUACCUAGGACACUUUGGGUGCUAACACCUUCCCUCUGUGUAACCAACCCCCUUACCUGUAAUCUCUGGCAUUUUAUUAGUUUUGAUUUGAAAACUUCUUAUCUUUGAGUUUUGCUCGUACUUUUCUCUUUUCCCUUGGAAACAAUAAAAGCGCGGUGGCGACUCUGAUUUUAUUGACGUUAAGUUUAUCCAUAGCUUAAUGGUCAUGAAUUUACCGCUACAGUCUGCACGGGAAAAUAUUUCAUUUUAAUAUGCAAUUGAAAGAAAAUAGAAAUAUAGACGAAAUGAACGUAAUGUAAUAGAUAUAACAUUAAUAAAAUCACAACAAAGCAAAAUAUGCAAGUCGAUAAAAACUUCAUAAUAUUUUGAUGAGUUUGAAUAAUAAAAUUAUUAUGUGUCCAACAAAGGAAAUUAAAAACUAAAGUUGUAAUAGUUAUGCAUAAACAAAUGAUACUUGAGGAAUUGGUAGGAUCAAUUGUAGACAUGACAUAACCUAUAAACAUGUUUAAAUAAAGGUGAAUUAAUGAUUUACGAUAAUAAUGGCAGAAAAAAUAUUAAUGUGAUUUAAAAAAAAUAUUAAUAAGCAGAAAAUUAAAGUUACCUAUAUGAUGUUAUGAAAAAAUUCUUUAAAGACAACAUUUGUUGUUUGAAAUAAGGAUUUGUUGUCUUUGUCAUGUAUCAAGAUUUUCAAUCCAGCUUUGCUCUUAACUCUUGAAAUAGCCACAUAUAGUUGUUCGUGGCUGAAAACAUUCUUGGGGAAAUAUAAACCGACAUAGUCCAAUGAUUUACUUUGAGAUUUGUUGAUUGUCAUAGUAAAUGACACAAUAAUUGGGAAUUGUCGUCUGAUAAGUUUGAAUGGCCAUGGAGAUUGAUAAGGAGACAAAUACAUUUUUGGGAUGUAAAUAGUGUUUCCAAUAUUUACUCCUGAAAUAAUUGUUGCUCCGAUUACAUGGUUGACCAACUUAGUAACUCUCAAUCUUGUACCAUUGCAAAGUCCUUCUGAUUGAUCCAAAUUCCUUAUCAACAUGAUGGUUGUGCCAAUUUUCAAUUUAAUUGAGUGGUUUGGCAAUCCAUAAGUUUUUAGACAACUCAAAAAUUAUGGUGUCAAAUGCUCAAAAGCAUCGUUAUCGUUGGCUUCUGAUCUAUCAAUGGAAUCACAACUCAAAUAUUCUUUUGAGUCACUUAAAUUAAAAAUGAAUGAUGCUUAAUGUCUCAAAGUUAAACAUCAUGAAACUAUAAAUGCAUGACAUACCAAAUGUUAUGCUAUGUAUUUACCGUAUGAAACUAUAAGCAUGUAAUUUAUAAGUAUCAUUUUGCAUAGUAAACUAUUCAUCAUAUGUUAUCGUUUAAAACCGGAUGACAUAUAUAAUGCACAACUGAUUAUGUUGUUAAAACAUUGUAUAACCAAUAUAAUAUUUAUGCACAGUUUCUCAUAGAAUGUUGUUGCACUUUUUGUUAUAACACUAAGGAAUAGAAUAUAUAUGCAACAAUUCUAUGAAUAGAUUUACAUAUGCAUGACAUAGAAUACUUUAUCCACUGUUUAUGAUUCAAAAGUGCAACAAUAUUUGUAUUUGUAAACAAUAUAAUAUUUUAGGGUACAUAACAAAACAACAUACCUACAUAUGCAUGUAUCAACAAUUUUAUCUAAUUUUGAAACUAAGAUUGUAUCUUUUGCUAUCAAAAUUUAAUAUACAUGAACUAAAAUGUUAUAUUAUAUCUGUUUUAGUUCUACAUGACAAUGUAUUACAUUUGUUACAUUGUAAUAUGUUUUAUACCAGUUUUGGGGGAAAUAUAUUUUAUAACAACGAUGACAGUGUAUUACAUUGCUUAAAGUAUUAUAGUACUAUCAAAAUGUUGUAAUACAAUUUAUAUUAGUUAAAGUAUUAUAUUCUAAUUUACAAACCAAUGACAAUAUAUUAUAUUGCUUAUAACGGAACUUUAAAAAUAGUAUAAAUCAGAAUGAAGAUAUACCUUGAAGAAGAUUUGUAAUGUAGUCGUUAAUGUCAUCGACUAUUUCAAUAAUUGAUGCCAAAAUAGCUCUACAUUGAAGAAAAUCUGAAUUUGUGUAGUUUUGAAUGAGAUUUGGAUAAGUACUUGUAAUAAUAGCUUCAAUUGGGUCCACAAAAUCUUUAAUGAUUAAAUCUUUUGGAAUAAGUAUCUCAGCAUAUCCAUCACUGGGUUCAAAUUUUUUUUCAUUUCCAACUUGUAAAAUCCAUUCAGAGAAUAGUCGAAUUUCUUCGAAAUUGACUAAAUUUGAGCCACUUUGCAACCACAUAUUUUUUGUUAGAUUAAGAACUUUGCAAUGAUCCAAAAUAUAUGAGGCAUUUAUUGUAGAAUGCACAAUAUCAGACCUACUACCUCUUGGUACAACGGGUAGAAUUUGUCUGAAGUCUCCACCAAAAAUAACAACUUUACCUCAAAAAAUUUGGUUACAUGGACCUUUAUCAUCACUCAUUAUAUCCUUCAAUGACUUCUUAAGAGCUUCAAAAUAAAAUUUAUUUUCCAUAGGUGCUUCAUCCCAUAUAAUGAGUUUUGUGACUUUUAAGAGAUUAGCUAAAUCAAAUUUCUUCUCAAUGUUACAUAUGGAAGAUUCAAGACAUGGAUCUGGAAUUUUGAAUUUGGAAUGUGAUGUUCUCCCUUCUGGUAACAAUAAACUUGUUAUCCCGUUUGAUGCCACAUUCAACACAAUAUCUCCUUGACAACGAAGAACAACAGAAAGUGUAUUCCAUAUGAAAGUCUCUCUGGUGCCCCCAUAACCAUAUAAAAAAAUACUCCACCUUUUUGGUUUGUGACGACUUCCAUGAUUUCUCUAUAAAUGCUAAGUUGUUCUUCUACAAUAAAAAAUAAUAUGUUUUCAUUGGAAUUAUUCAGAAGUCAUAAAAUUAUAUAUGCAAUAUGAACAUGCGUAGUCAUAUAAAGACGACACACUAGAAUAAGGACAACACACUGAAUUGAAUGAUAGAGUAAUGGAAAAAAAUUAUUGCAAGGAAGUGUAAAUAAAAAAUAGAAAUACCUGUUAAUGAUUGAAACAAAUUUUGGUAAAUAUCUUUUUGAGCCGAAAUAUCAUAUUGUCUUUCAUCAUAUAUCAAUUUAUUUCCAAGAAAGUCCAAGACAUAAUUUGAUGGAUAUGGUAUUAGUUUAAAUUCUUUUAAACUUCUUCUAUUUUUUUGAAGUUGUUUCUCAACUUCCAUCAAUGUGAGUUGUUGGAUAUCUUCAUCUGACAAAUAUAAUUCUACAAAUAAUGUUAAGAGCAAAGUAAGUUACCAAAAAUUAGAAAUCCAUAGAUUUGGGAAGAAAAUUCUAAAGUAAUGUGAAUUGUAAACAUGUCGUAUAUAUAGUAAAAUGGGCACAAUAACAGUAGUAUAAACAUGUUAAUUGAAAAGGGUAAAUAAAAAAAUAUGAAUUGUAAAGAUGAGCAGUAUAUAGAAUUUUUUUACAAAAAAGUAAAAUUGAAGGGAUAAAGUAUAAAUUUAUAAUAACCUGAAUUUUGUGACAAUCUUCUUUGUUCAUAUAGAAUGACAUCUGAUAAGUAUAUCCAAGUCUUUUUCCAAACAUGCUCAAGUCGAUUCAUUGAAGGUGACAACAACAUUGUCACAAAAAGUUUGCGCAAAAAAACUCCAAAACCCCAAUUGUAAGCCUCUUUAUUGCCUCAUUGUACUCUUUCUCAUCUUCUAGGAAACCCAAUGCAAAACAUGCGUCUCUAAAGGUAUUGUGUUUGAAUCCCUCAAUUGUCUUCAAAUCAUCAUAACAAGUUGGCCCUUUCUUCACAGUCAACAAUAUCCUCAUAUAAUACAACUCACCAGUUGUUAGAGGCACCCAAAUUAGUCGGCCAAUGGUGUAACCUCUUUUCCGUGGUUUCCAACACCUCUUUCUCCUAUCAUAAACAAAUUUGGAUACAAAUUGAUCAUAUGUUAAUAGUUUUGCUUCUUCAUACUCACUAUUUGCCACAAACCAGGAUGUAAACAUUGACUCUGUGACACUUGGUUUAAGAAGGACAUUCCCAAUUUGCUCAAAGUCUUUGUACUAUACAGAAUUCUCCCCCUCCAUGUGAAAAAAACAAUCUUUCAACUGCUGGUUUUCGACCAUGACUUGAAUAAGAGAAUAUUUUCCAGCAUGCUUCGCUUGGUGAUACAUAACGACAAUCUAGGUAUUGUUUGAUUUCAUCAAUUUUUUCAUCAGUAUGAGAGUUAUUUGGAAUAAUCACUCUUGAGAUUCUAUCAGAACCCUUGUUUAUGUAUUUGAAAAGAUAUUUGAUAGAAGUACUUUGAUUGCACCACUCCAUAUUAAUGUGUGCCUCAUAUUUCAUCAACAAAUUUGGGUUGUGGGGGACAACAUGACCACUAUGAAGUGUGAUUCCAUUUUUUUUCAAUUGUAUUCCCUUGAUCUCUCCUCCUAUAAACUGAAUAUCCAAUCAAAAUUAUCCCAAUUUAAUCAUUCAAUACAAAAUAAUUCUUUCACAUAUCCCAUUCAAACCCUUUUUUUUCAUCAUUUUCAAACUUCUAAACAAAAUCUUAAUUUAAUUAUAUAUCUACAAGAUUGAAAGUCAACUCUAACACUCAUCUUAUUUUAUUAAGUUAAUUAUAUACUCAAUCACAUAUCUUUAAAUUUAUUAAUAUUUAUUUUAAAUUUUAAUAUUAAAAAUUCACAAACAAUUAAUGUGAAACAAUGAACUAUGCCUGUUAGGCUGUUACUAUGACUAUGAGACUAAGGUGUAAUAUUUAUUUCUCAAAUGAUUUGUAAACAAAAUAUAGACAACACCACAUCAUCAUAGAACAAUCCACAUCGGAUAACGGGAGGCGCGUGAAACAAACGAACCACCAUAACAGUAAAAAAACGGACAUAUCUUAUGUCAAGUGAAUACACAACAACGCAACACUCACUAACUCUUAAUUUUGUAUCCAAAUAUCCUGAAAAAUAAAAAACAAACAAAUCUACACAAAUGAUGAACAAGAAAGUCACAAUAAUAAUAAAAAGCCGAAAAGAAAGGAAAAAAAAAAACAAGAUCCACCUCGAACCUCUCUCCACUCUCCCACUACAUUCCAAUCCAAUCACAAUCACCCUCUCUUCUCUCACAACAACAACAACACCACCACUAUCCUCACCCCCUUGUUGUCUCCCAAACCCCAUCCCCAAUUAUCACUCUCUAUAAUCCUUCAAUCAAAUUCCACAAAUUGAUUCUCUCUUCACCACCACCACCAUCACCACCACCACCGCCUUGAACAAAACCAGUGCUUGAUUCAUCACACACAUACACCGAACUCUGUGUGUGUCAGAUUUUGAGAAUCCAAUAAUGAGAGAAGACGAUUCAAAUUGGUUUUCACGAUGGGAAGAACAACUACCUCCACCGGAAGAACUCAUGCCUUUAUCACAAACCCUAAUCACUCCUGAUCUCGCUAUAGCUUUCGAUAUCAGAAACCCUCACACCACGAACACUAUCAACGCUAAUCCGCAACACCAACAACAUCAUCAACAACAACAGCAACAACCUCCACCUUCUU